CACCAAUCAAUGGAGAAGGCAUGUGAAAACUGCAUACAUGGAAAGAAUUUUCCUAGUUAUGGACCUGGUUUCAAUCCUUUCCUCAGAUCAAGUAACCGAGGGACAACAAUAUUUAGGACCUCAUUGUAGACAUUAAAAAUUUCCCCAGUCAUUAGCUUCUAGGGGAAAAAACAAAUUUACCUUGGUUCCAUCCUUUCCAAUGACGAAAUCCAGAUCCCCUGAAACCAAGAUCGACUCCAAGGUCUGAGAUUCUUCCCUUUUCUUCUCUAUCUCUGCAAGCUCUGCAAACUUUUCUGGAGUGAAGGGAUAAGCUGUGAUGCCAUGCUCUUCGACAGUUUCGGCAACGUUGGCAUGGACAGUCUUCCCAUCCUGACCGAUAAUGACCAGAGUGGGUAGGGUCGACAGCUUAAAGUACCUCACCAACUUCUCGCAUUUCUUGUCUUUGAAUGGUAAUGAAAGCCAUGGCAUGCUGCCAAAGGAUUGGUUGAAUGAUGCUUCAUCAUCAUCGAGAGGUAUCUGAACGAUCUCAAAACUCUCUCCUCUGGCCUUCAAUUUCUCAUAAACCUCCAGUAACUUAGGCGUGAAAUCGACGCAUGCCCUGUGCACGGACAACGAGAAGUACAGACCCACUGUUUUCCCUUCAAGCUCAGUAACAGGAACCUACUUUGGCCACAAAACUAUUAGUAAAAGGAGGAUGGAAAACCGAAUCAUAAGCACAUGCGACCAUCAGUUUCAAAUGCAUCGAAGAUCUUUUUUAGGUUUACCUGAUUCCGAUUGGACGAAACUACGAAGUUACGAGAUCCAUGGACCAAAAGAGAGGUCAAUGAUUGAUUUAUCCUGGCAGCUUCUUCCUGGUCUUUCAACUCUUUGAUACGUUCUGGAGUGAAAGGGUGACCUUCCACUCCAUACUCACGGACAAUCGCAACUCCGCUAUCUGUUAAGACCGUACCUGUGCCAUCGAGAAUGACAAGGUGGGGUAUCCCCCUCACCUUAAACAAUUCAUCCAAGCUAUUGCGCUUGUCCAAGUCGGAAAACGGGAUUGCAAGCCACGGCAUCUUGGAAAAGUAUCCACUGAAGGACCCUUCAUCCUUAUCUGCAGAGAUAAAAAUGAUCUCCAGAUCACCUUUUGGGGAAAGUUCAUCGUACACCUCCGCCAGAAUCGGGGUGAACCGGUGGCACGGACCGCACCACGAUGCAGAGAAGUACAAGCCAAGCUUCUUCCCCUUCAAGCUAUCGACCUUAACCUGAUAUAGAACAAAAAGAUUCCUAAUUUUAGUUCUUUCAUACGGUAAUCAGCGAGCAAGGCACACUAGAUCACUUGACCACCACACAAAAAUCCUGAAAGUGCUCAAGAUACACAUCCAAAUGCCAACUGCAGAAGCACUUCCCUUAAGCACUGCUCAUUAAAUAGUUAGCAAAUCAGCAGUCUUCUCCACCAAAACAAGUAUACCACACAGAAGGUGUGAGCAUUUACACUAAAGAGCAUUACUUCAUAGCAAUAUCGGAUCCAUAUACACUGCUCCCACCUGAUCCAACUCCAAGUAACAUGUCUUUCUCUAAAAAGUAAUGCAUCAACUACCGAUCAUCCAGUUUCUGAAGGAAACAAAUGGACAGCACUCGAAAAUGAUGAUCCUAGAUCAGACCAACUUUAGCUUCUCUUGAACUAAAUUUAAAAACCGAUCAGCGAAACAACCCCACACGAAGACGAAGGCCACGAGAACUUCGACAAGGACGCCCACCCAUAAUUCUUUUUCUUUCACCUCAUCCAGCGAAAGAGCAAGAGUGAAAGAAGAGAACUGAGUUUCACCUGAUCGCCGUUGUUCCGGAUGAGGAAGUCCCUGUCCGGAGAAGACAGGAGGGACUGAACAUCGUGAGAAGAAGCCCCGCCUUCGACAACGUCCGCCAUCCUGGUCGCGUUCGUUCCUUGUGUCCUGUUCUCGUGUCUCUGCAGAGAGUCUGCCUGAGAAUCCUCCUAUGGCGGGCUCCUGCUGCUCUGUUUAUAUACAUAAAGAAAAUCCCGUGCAAGCACAUAUAUUAUUUAUUUUUAUUAAUAUUAUUAUUACGAUUAUUUGCUCUUUAAUUUUCCCUUUUUCUAUAUGUAUAAAUAUAUAUAUAUAUAUAUUAUUUUUUUUUCGGUUUCUGGAUGCUUCCUUGGACUUUUGGGGACGGCAAGGACGUCAAGGACGGUAGGAAACACGUGGACACGCAUGAUAAAUCUCAGUCUCCAUUUUCUUAUUUUGUAUAUAUGUUUUAAUUUACUACCUUUUACCUUUCCUUGCUUCCUACGCUUCCGGUAAGCGGUGUGUUUGGUAAUCAUUCUGUUUCGAGUAAUACUUUUUUAUGAGAAAUGAUUUUUUUUUCUAUUUCUGUUAUUGGGAAUAAUUUUUGAACAAAAAAAUGUAUUUAGUAACUUACCAAAUAUUAUAUUCUCGGGAUAAAAAUACGUUUGGUAAAAUUCUUAGAUUUUUUUUAUUUCUUUUAUUUUUUUAAUUAUUUUACUAUUUAUUCUUAUUUUUUCCUUUUUCUUUUUUCUUUUUCUCUUUGGUUGGUCACUGGUGACUGCCGUGGUCGGCGACGUCUGGCGUGCUUGCCAAAGUCUCGCUAGGCCAAGGUGAGGCUCGACGAGGCUCGGCCUCACCUAAGCGGUGCAAGGGUUGGCCUCGUGUCAGCAAGGGAGGCUGAGCCUCGUCGUGGCUUGGCGUCUUCGAGAGUUAGCGACGCUCCGGCAAGGUCAUCGGCCCUCGUCUGGCCGGUUAGGCCGGCGACUGGCAAAAUGAAGAAGAAGAAGAAAAUAAAGAGAAGAAGAAAAUAGAAGAAAAAAGAAGAGAGAAAAAUUGAUUCUAGAAAUUGUUUUGAAAAAAGUAAAUCACUUGAAAAAUAUUUUCUUAAAAAUAAUCACUUGUAUCGCUUACAAUAAUGAAUAAGUGAAAAAAUAUCUUUAUUGUCCAUGAAAUUGUUUAUUUAUAAAUUAUUAUCGAUUUAACUAAUAAUUUUAAGAGAUAUAAGUGAUGAUUUUUAGGAACAUAUUUUCUAAAUCAUUUAUUUUUAGCAAAAUAAACUGAAUUUUAGAUUGCAUCUUAUUAGUUAUAGAAUUUAACUCAUGACCCAAAAUAAAAGAAAACUCAUGAAUAAUCCUAUUUCAUACGGUUUAAUAUUCAUCAUGCAUGCCGUCUAGCGCUUAGGGACGCGCAGGAAAGUUUGGGAUGGCUGGGACACGUCAGCAAGUCGGCUUUAUCUUCUCAUUUUAUUUGUUAUUUGACCCCUUGACCGUUGCUUGCUUCCUCCACAAGAAGUUCAUCUCGAAAAAUUAAAGCUUGACAAAAUUUCGUUUUUUUUACCCUCUCAAAUUUUUAUAUAAGUUAGAUUUUAAAAGCUUGACAAAAUUUCCUCUUUUUACCCUCUCAAUUUUUAUAUAAUUAGAUUUUAAAUUCUUUUGAGAGCUAAAUUGCAUUUUUGCCUUUUUAUUCGCGCAUGGGUUGGCGUUAUGUGAGAAAUUAAAGGUAUGAUUGCUCAGGUCAAUUUUUAAUUAUAAUUUAGAUUUUUAAGUUUUGAAGAAUUUCUUUCUUAAUUUUUUAAGAAUUUCAGAUUUACCCCUUAAAUUUUUGUUGGUUGCCAAACAAAAAAUAAAGUUGAUGGGCCUAAUAAUAAAAUAGGGUAUAAAAUGGUAAAUCUAUCGCUACGAAUCUAUCUAAUGAAGAACUAAUUCCCUAUAAAAAAAAAAAAAAUUCUCAACUUUAGGUCUAGUUCCAAUUCUCUCUUAAUUUUUUAUCUAGAAAAAAAUCUAAAACUUUAGAUCCAGUCCAAAUUUGUCCCCAACUUUUAUUUGACUUAAAAAACUCAACUUUAAAUUCAAUCUUAAAUCUAUUUCAAACUUUUUAUCUUUAUCUAAGAGAAAAAUCAUCAAUUUUGACUUUAGUUUCAAAUUUGCCUCCAUUAGUCCUCUAUUCAAAAAUCAUUGUUAGUUGUCCGUAAUUUUCAUAUUCUAUAAUAGUUUUAUUUUGGAGAUAACUUUUCACGUCACCUUCCUAACGUGGAUCUCUUAUCAAUGUGUAAAUGCCAUAUUAAGUAGGGAUUACACCACGAGCCUAGAUUUGAAAAUAAAUUGAAAGCUGGUGAUUUUUUAGACAAAACAAAAUUCAGGUUUUGGGGUAUUUUCUUUAAAAAAAAAAAAAUAGAGGCAAAUUCGGGACUGAAUCUAAAGUUCGGGUUUUUUUUUUAGACAAAAAAAAUUGGAACAAAAUUACGAUUAGACUUAAAGUUGGAAAUGUUUUAGGAAAUUAGAUAAUUUAAUCAAGAGAAAAAUCAUAGACAAGAAAAAGAUAAAUACGAAUUCGUUGAGUUGAUAGGGAUAACUGAAGAAAAUAAUGCAAUUGAAAAAUGUAAAUUCCAUGAUAUAAGAAGUUGGCAAAAAUUAGGAUGAUAAGGCUGACUUGAAAAGGUAAGGAUAAUUUCUUUGCUUCGUCACGCUAACCAACCCAAACUUGACCACCAAGGAUAAUUCACUUUCCUUUGUUCUCUCGAGGCUCCAUGGAGCUCCAUUAUAAGCUAUUUUACCCCUUUCUUCUUCUUCUUCUUCUUCUUCUUUUUUUGAUCUUUCUAAACUUUACUAAUUCACAAUUAUUUAGCAUAUAUGAUCCACGAAGACUGUGAUUAACAACAAUAAAUAGCAACAAAACAGCCGCAUCAAAUAGAUGAAAAAUCUCGUAGCUUUUUCUUAAGCGAAACCUAUCAUUUUUCAAUCCUCUUUGAGCUUCAAUACCCAAAAGCAUCAAUUACAUUGUAAUGUUUAUAGCGGAGAAAUUACUAAAUCAAUCAUAAAUUUAUAAUACGGAUGUAAAUUUCAUCAUUAAUUUUUUCAUUUCUCAAGCCACUUCAAAUGAUAAUUCUAAAAGUUGAAAAUUCUACAAAAAUCCGAAUAGGAGGAUGAGACCGAUUUGCAGGGAGGGUGAAAAGGGGGGGAAUUAAAAAGUAUUAUGCGAAACUUGGUGACCAAGGAGGUGUUAUCCUUAGUCAAAAAGGAGAUAAAGAAGGAAGAACGUGAAGGAGGGGUUGGAAAAUGACCGUGCGCCUGACGUGUCUGCGCUGUUGGUCACAAGGACGUGUUCUUGCUAGUCAACAUCAAGGUGAUUGUCGUACAAAAAGCAAGGGGGGAUUCCAUGCCGGUGUUUCUUUUUCUUGGAAAAUUGGUGUUCGAUCUCAUCCUUAUUGGUAUUCACACUCUUUUGGUCAAGCUCCUAAGCAGGAACGAGGACAAAAAGCAACAUGAAAUUGGAGAUCAAACUAAAUUUUGAAGAAGGGAGGAGGAAAACUAGCAUUAUAAACCGAAAUCCAUAUGCCUAACUAGCAUUCGGAACAGAUUUCUGAACAUCUUCAACAGGUCCUCUCCUUCCUCUUUGUUUGUUUGUUUUGUUUUUGCUAAGAAAGUAAGUAAAUAGAUUAUUAGAAUGAAAAAAAAAUAAUAUAUGGGGUGCAUACUCGAGAGACUUGGUAAAAAAACUAUAAAAUAAUUAAAUAAUGAAAAUAAUUUUAAAAAAAAUGUAUAUAUACUUAUCAAGUUCAAUUGAGAAUUGGAUUGGUACUCACCAAUUUCAUUAGAUUGAAAUCAGGAUUUGGAUCAGUCCUCAUGGGAACCGCCAAUUUUGUACUAGUUCAGCCUGAUUUUGUGCCGUUUAGAUGAUUUCCGAUUUCUUAACACACCUCUAAUUGUGACUUUUAUAAAGUAUAUUGUAAAUACCUCACAGUUAUGGCUACUUUAAAAUUUCAGCACCCUUUGAUGACUUUCUAGGAAGCCACCGCAGCCAACAUUGAAGUGCUACAAUUUAUAAAAUAUGUAUUUCAUAACCACAAAAAGCCACGUCAUCUUAUACAUUUUUACCAAACUGGCUCUACUAAUUUUGAAAGGGAAAGACCAAGAACAAAGAGUCAACGUCAAGUCUUCGGGCAUUAAUUAUUGCCGACGAUACCUAAUCCACGACGGGUGGUCCUGGUCAAGCAGGCUAGAAAAACUCACUCUUUGCACGGAUAUCGUGAAAAACAGAAUAUAACACGUGUUUUUCAUUUUUAUCUUUUGUACAAUUUAUUUUCGAUUUGCUCUUAAUCCGACUUUUAUAUGGAUAUUUCCUUUUUACUUUCUCUUGUUCAUUAAAUUUUUGCAUCGAGUACAUAAAUACUGAUGCGUACCUGUAUUUUUCAAUCUUUUUUCAUUUCAAAUUCUUUUCAUUUACCUUGCUUGAAAUUUUUUUUGCAACUUUACAGUGACUUUCUACAUUUAUAUAUGUUAAUAUUUUUAUUUAGACUCUUUUAUAUUGUUGCAUCGAUUUCACUGGCAAAUUAUUUUGGUUAUGUCCUUACUUUUGUUAUCAACGUAAGUACAUUGUCAAUAAGUAUGAUAUACAAAAAGGGGGGAAAAGAAAUGGUGAACUCGUACCGACUCAGGAUUGGAAGGAAAAAAUACACUUAUCGAAGCUAAAUCGCCUGGUGCCAAUCGUGACCACUAGCUCAUACAGCCAGCUGCAUUGUCUAUUUUCGACAGCCGUGAAGCAACUUUUUAUGAGAGCAUCUUAAUCUCUCUUUCUGCUGGCAACCCACUUCAUCAAAUACUUUACAUGGCCAGCCCGACCACAUUUUUUCCCAUUACUUUCCUCACUGGCAAUGAGUUGAACUGAAUGAGUCUGGAAACGUCAAAGGUUUUGGUGGAAUGCUAGACUGCGUAUCGGAGGACAGUGUUGAACUGGAGGAAGUGCCUAAGGCUUGAGGAAGGCUCGUGUGGAGGUUGAUACCAGAGCUUUCUUCUUCUCCAUGGCUAGUUGGUUCCCAUUGCUCCACGAGGGGAUGCAAAAUAUUGACAAUGUGGCCCAUGUCCGGUCUCUGGAACGGUUCCUCAGCAGUGCAAUGACGAGCCAGCUCAGCAACUUUGAUUAUACUCUCUAAGGUUUCUUCAUCGGGGUCAAGAGUGUGGUCGAUAGCUUUCAGGAUGUUUUCCUUAUCGAUCAGAACUCUACGGAACCAAGUGACCAAGUGCGCCCUCUCAUCUGGCAUGGUGUUGUCUAAUGCUUUUCUACCGGUAAUGAUCUCCAUCAAGACAGCACCAAAUGCGUAAACGUCCACCUUUGUAGUUACCCUUCCAGUGGCUGUACGGACAGAAAAAGACCCAUACAAAGUUCAAUGCAAUUUCAUCGAUAAGGAAAAGAAAAGCCUCUGCUCAGAUUUCAUGUUAAGAGAAGCUAAAAGCGCCCCAAGAAUGGGUAACAUAAAGAAGUCACCCUUGGUUUCUAAUCAACAAUUUGUAGUCAGGUGAUUUCACUAUCCCCCUAAUGUGGAUCAGAGCAAUUGAAUUGACUUAGAUAUUUUAACAGCAAUCGUGCACAUUUGAGUUAAUUAAUGCGUGCUGAUCAAUGAGGUGAAAACAUAGAUAUAAAGUCCACUAGUUCGUCUGCAGGACUCCUAUCCAUUAUUACUACUGAAAGAUAUCACACUUAUGUAAUCUCGAUGAAAGAAACAAUAGAGAUCAAUUUACCUAAUGCAUAUUCAGGAGCUAAAUACCCAAAAGUUCCAGCCAACUGUGUCUGCAUGGAAUACUUCCCAUCAGGAACAUUUUUAACCAAACCAAAGUCAGCAACUUUGGCUCUCAUGUCAUCUUCCAGCAGUAUGUUUACUGGCUUCAAAUCCCUAUGGAUAAAUUUUUGUUGGGCUAAACUGUGCAGGUAUUCCACUCCUCUAGCAACAUCCAAAGCAAUGGUCACCCUUUGCUUCCAAGUCAGAGGUGCAUACCCCUUCUCUUGCCACUCGAACAGAUGUUGCGCGAGAGUCCCUUGUGGCAUAUAUUCAUACACUAAAAGCCUCUCAUCACCUUUGAUACAAUACCCUAAAAGCAUGACUAAAUGCCUAUGCCUCACUUUUGUAAGUACUGCAAUCUCAGCUUGGAAUCCCUUCAUUCCCUUCGUGCCCAUUGCCCCAGAUUCCAUUCUUUUAACAGCAAUUUUGGUGCCAUCAUGCAACUCCCCUUUGUAAACAACACCAAAACCACCUCUUCCUAAAAUGUUCUCUUCACUAAAAUUACAAGUCGCUUGUCUAAGGACUUCAAUUGAAAUUUUAACAUUUCCUCCUUUAAGAACGGGAAAAUCACUAUGGUCCCCACUGCUUUGGCUAUGCAAUUCACUUGGAAGCCCACCAUAACCAUUCAUACCAUUCCCGGCCCCAUUCUUAGCUACUUCCAUCCCAAUUUCCGGAUUGUCUACACUAUUAAAUUUCCUGUGUCGUCGGAUGAUGUAACGGAAUUUGUACAAGACAAGCAACACCACCACGAUGAAAAUAAGGACACCUACGACAACAGCAGCAAUUACACCAUCUGAAAGUGAAGAACCAUUUGACGAUCCAGGUGAGCCACCAUCAGUCGAAUUCGUCCCUGAACCACCGCUGCCUCAGCCACCAGUGUCCGUUUUACCAAUUAAUGGAUUACCAAUAGUAGUCAAUUUCACUGAGGCUGGGAAAACCGGUAUCGACCCAUUGAGAUUAUUGUUCGACACAUCAAGAACUUGAAGCUGAGUCAGCGUAGUCAAGCUUUCCGGAAUAGAGCCAGUAAGAUUAUUAUCGUUCAACAGCAGCGUGCGGAGCAAGGUGAGAUUCGCAAAUGCGGGCGAGAUGGUCCCACUAAACCCCCGCUUCGAGAAAAUAACAGAGGUCACAUUCUUCCCCUGGCAAGAAAUGGCACUCUAGCUGCCGUUGCAAGCAUCAUUCCCAGUCCAAGAAUCCGCCGGCGUGAUCGGAUACCCCAACGUACUAGCCACCUCAAGCAACGUAGUAACCUGUGGGUCGCAAGGGCCCGGCGCACUGUUGCAAAAGCUAUUGGUACCCCCGUAGGUAACGCUAAUUCCACUGCUAUUACUAGGGACGGGACCCUGCAACUUAUUGUUAUCCAAGGACACAUUCUUCAAGCCGGGGAGUGCCAACAGCGAGGCGGGCACAAGCCCAGUGAACUGGUUGUAGCUAAGCUGGAGAUCGAGCAAAUUAGUGCAUUGCGAGAGAUCGGGGAUCGGACCUGUGAACUGGUUGUUCUGGAGCCAGACCCGGCUCAGCUGGGUCAUCCCGGCCAACACGCUGAUGCCGCCGGAAAGCCCCAUCGCCUGGUUGUUGAUCCAGAGGUUCUGGAUCGAUGAAGUGCCGAAGGAGGAGGGGAGGGGCCCGGUGAGGUUGUUGUAGGAGAGACUCAGACUCAUCAGGCUAGGGAGGGUUCCGAGGAAGUCAGGGAUCGUGCCGGUGAUGUUGGUGUUGUCGGCGUAGAGGACAGUCAGGGACGUCGAGGCGUUGAGCUCCGCCGGGAUCUGCCAGGAGGGGAGGUCAUGAUUUUCGCUGAGGCUGAGGGUCUGGAGGCUGGUGAGGCCCUGGAAGGCGCCGGAGGUGAUGGAGGUGAAGUUGUUGCCGUCGAGGUAGAUGGACUGGAGGGAGACGAGGCCGGCGAAGGAAGGGACGGCGCCGGAGAGGGAGUUGCUCUGGAGGGAGAGGCUCUGGAGCUGGGAGAGGGAGGAAAGAUCCGAGGGGAGGGCGCCGGAGAGGGAGGAGGAAGAGAGGUUUAUGACGGUGACCCGGGAGGAGGAGUCGCAGCUGACGCCUGUCCACUUGCAGUAGGUCUGGCCCGAGGACCAGCCCGACGGCUUGAGGGCGGCGAGGAUCUCGGCCAUGACGGCGGAGUCGUCGGCGGAGACGGCGGAGGCGGCGAGGAAGAGGAGGAGGAGGAGGAGGAGGAAGGGGGCCGGAGAGCGGAGGCUCCCUGCGGCCAUUGUCGACGGCGUUGCUGUGGGUCGAGAGAGAGAAAGGCGUAAGCAGAGGGGGUGGGAUGCGCGGAGAAGGAAACAGAGGAAGUCGCGGUCGUUCUCUGUUUGUUCUCCUACGAGGCGAGAGAGAGAGAAAAACCCAGCAAAUUCAAGUGUCGAGAAGACUUUGCGGGAGUGUUACGUAUUUACUGAGGAGCAGGUCUUAUGAACAAGAGAAGGACGCGAGGGAGAGCGGCAUCACCCGGGAAAAUGGGGUCCAACAAUGUAGGAAACACGUGGACGCAUCGUACACGUCAGCAAAUCUCAGUCUCCAAUUUUCUUAUUAUAUAUAUAUUUUUUCGGUAAUUGAUAUAUAUUUUUUAAUUUACCCCGCUUUUACCAUUCCUUGCUCCCUACUCCCCCGAGAAGCCGCAUCUUUACCCUCCGAUGCUUGAAGUACUCAAAAAGAAUUUUGAUUUCAACCUUCUCAAUAUUAUAUUAUAACAAGUUAUGUAUUAUUUUUUUUUCAAAACAGUAUUUUAUUGAUGAGCUUGAGAAUUUUGCCUUUUUUGUAGGCACCCUUGCCUCUCUCCCUCCCAUUAAAUUUGAGAAAUUGGGGAAAUAAAAGAGGAAAUCAUUGGUGAAAAAUUCUAGAAGAAUCCGAAAUCCGCAAUGAUUAGGAGGAUGGGACGAAUUUGCAAGUAAUGUGGAAAAGGGGGAAGUAUAAUGCGAAACUCAGUGGCCAAGAAUGUGUUGUCCGUUAGUCAAAAUAAGAGAAUAUUCAAUUUCGAUGCUUUUCUUUUUUCUUGACUUUGCUAAUGAGAAAUCAAUUAGGAUUAAUUUUCAGUCAUUCUUUUAUGAUGUGAUACUAUCUGUUUGUUAAAUAAACAGAAAAUCCAGGAAAAAAAUUGAAAUUAAGGGUGUGUUUGUUUUGAAAAGAAUAUCACUUGAAAAAUAUUUUCUUAAAAAUAAUCAUUUGUAUUGCUUACAAUAAUGAACAAGCGAAAAGUAUCUUCAUUAUCCAUGAAAAUGUUUAGUUAUAAAUUAUUAUCAAUUUAACUAAUAACUUCAAGAGAUAUAAGCGAUCAUUUUAAAAAAAAAAUACUUUUUAAAUUAUUUAUUUUUAGCAAAAUAAACUGAAUUUUAGGUUGCAUCUUAUUAGUUAUGGAAUUUAACUCGAGACCAAAAAAAAAAAGGAAAACUCAUGAAUAAUCCUAUUUCAUAUGGUUUAAUAUUCAUCAUACAUGCCGUCUAGCUCUGAGGGAUGCGCAGGAAAGAUUGGGAUAGCUGGGACACGUCAGCAAGUCGGCUUUAUCUUCUCAUUUUAUUUGUUAUUUGACCCCUUGACCGUUGCUUGCUUCCUCCACAAGAAGUUCAUCUCGAAAAAUUAAAGCUUGACAAAAUUUCUUUUUUUUACCCUCUCAAUUUUUAUAUAAGUUAGAUUUUAAAAGCUUGACAAAAUUUCCUCUUUUUUACCCUCUCAAUUUUUAUAUAAUUAGAUUUUAAAUUUUUUUAAGAGAUAAAUUGCAUUUUUGCCUUUUUAUUUGCGCGUGGGUUGGUGUUAUGUGAGAAAUUAAAGGUAUGAUUGCUCAGGUCAAUUUUUAAUUAUAAUUUAGAUUUUUAAGUUUUUAAGAAUUUCUUUCUUAAUUUUUUAAGAAUUUCAGAUUUACCCCUUAAAUUUUUUUUGGUUGCCAAAAUAAAAAAGUUGAUGCGCCUAACAAUAAAAUAGGGUAUGAAACAUGGUAACUCUAUCCUUACGAAUCUAUCUAAUGAAGAACUAAUUCCCUAUUUUUUUUUUAAAAAAAAAAUCUCAACUUUAGGUCUAGUUCCAAUUCUUUCUUAAUUUUUUUUGUCUAGAAAAAAUUCUAAAACUUUAGAUCCAUUCCAAAUUUGUCCCCAACUUUUAUUUGACUGAAAAAACUCAACUUUAAAUUCAAUCUCAAAUCUAUUUCAAACUUUUUAUCUUUAUCUAAGAGAAAAAUCAUCAAUUUUGACUUUAGUUUCAAAUUUGCCUCCAUUAGUCCUCUAUUAAAAAAAUCAUCAUUAGUUGUCCGUAAUUUUCGUAUUCUAUAAUAGUUUUAUUUUGGAGAUAACUUUUCACACCACCUUCCUAACGUGGAUCUCUUAUCAAUGUGUAAAUGCCAUGUUAAGUAGGGAUUGCACCAUGAGCCUAGAUUUGAAAAUAAAUUGAAAGUUGGUGAUUUUUUUAGAUAAAAAAAAAAAUCGAGGCAAAUUCGGGACUGAAACUAAAGUUUGGGCUUUUUUUUAGACAAAAAAAUUGGACAAAAUUAAGAUUAAAGUUGGAUUUUUUUUAGGAAAUUAGGUCAUUUAAUCAAGAGAAAAAUCAUAGACAAGAAAAAAAUAAAUACAAAUUCGUUGAGUUGAUAGGGAUAACUGAAGAAAAUAAUGCAAUUGAAAAAUGAAAAUUCUAUGAUAUAAGAAGUUGGCAAAAAUUAGGAGACUGACUUGCAAAGGUAAGGAUAAUUUCUUAAACUUUUUUUUCAGACAAAAAAAAUUGGAACAAAUUUAAGAUUAGACUUAAAGUUGGAAAUUUUUUAGGAAAUUAUAUCAUUUAAUCAAGAGAAAAAUCAUAGACAAGAAAAAGAUAAAUACGAAUUCGUUGAGUUGAUAGGGAUAACUAAAGAAAAUAAUGUACGAUUCACUUUCUUUUGCUCUCUCGAGGCACCAUGGAGCUUCUUCUUCUUUAGAUCAUUUAAUCAAGAGAAAAAAUCAUAGACAAGAAAAAGAUAAAUACGGAUUCGUUGAGUGAUAGGGAUAACUGAAGAAAAUAAUGCAAUUGAAAAAUGAAAAUUCUAUGAUAUAAGAAGUUGGCAAAAAUUAGGAGGAUAAGACUAACUUGCAAGGGUAAGGAUAAUUUCUUAAUCUUUUUUUUUUCAGAUAAAAAAAAUUGGAACAAAAUUAAGAUUAGACUCACACAUGACAAAAUUUCUAUUUCUCGAUUUCUCUGUUUCUUUGUUCCCCGGAACAGGUUUGGAACAGAAAUCCGUUUGGUAACGCAAUUUGAUUUCUCUAUUUCUGAAAUAGAUCUCUAUUUCAGAAAUAGAGAAAUUGAAGAAAUCAGAAGCUGAAAUUUUUAACUUCUUAAUUUCUAAAAUAGAAAUCAGAAACUAAAAUCAAACCAUAUAAAAGAACCUUGCACUUUCUUGCUAACUUAAUUCACUCAUAACCACAACUUCACACAUUAUUGCUAAUUUUCUUUUUCUUAUUUUGCUCGUGUUUUUUUUUUUUUUUUGCAUUUUUUUUUAUAACUUCCUCUUUAUGAUGAAAGGCAAUCGAAUGGGUCCCUAAUUUUCAAAAACGAUCAAAGUUCUUAAAUGCUUACUUAAAAACGAUGGGGCUCUUUCCUCCUAGAAAAGGUACGGGUAUGGCCAAUUGAAGAAAAAGUUCUUACAUAAUAGAUGAAUAAAGAACGUGCCUAGAAAUUUAACCUUAUUUUUUUACGAAUUCAAAAUUCUUGCAAAAUCAAAAUAAUUAGAUUGUUACACAAUCUUGAAUUUUAAUUCGAAUGCAAAAGAUUCAAGAGAAACUCUCUCUUUGCUAUGCAAGGGCCAUUAAAGGUUCAUUGAGCAACAAUAAAGAAAUUAGGGAUGAGUAACUGGACUAAUUCAAUUCCAGAAUCAAAAUAAACCGACCUUCCCCCAAUUGAUUCCUAACCAUAAAUGUUACUUUAAGGUAGAAUUCUCUUAUAUUCCUUUACACCAUUAAUUUUAUUUUGUUGAUAAUCUUGUAUAAUACUAGUUUUUGAUAAAAUGACAAGGCUGUAUAGGCGUCAUUGAUGGCACCCAUAUUCAUGCUUCCGCAGUAUUUGUCUGAACCUACGUAGGAUGAGCUUGCAAACGAUACAUUGACCAAGGAGGGAAACCAAAUAAAUAUGCUUAGGAAAACAAUUUCUAAUAAAAUGGCAAUAGAUAAUAAUAUGCCGGAAAUUCUAUGAAAUUGUAUUUUCAACGUUUGUAAUGUAUUAGUAUUAUUUCGGCUAUUAUUUUGUAUUUGAGGAUUUCCUAUGUUAUUUUAGUAUUAUUUCGACUAUUAUUUUGUAUUUGAGGAUUUCCUAUGUUGUUAUCUAAUCAAUUUCUAUUCCUAGAAAUAGAAAUUUUGUUCUGUUAUCAAACGGAUUUCUGUUUUAGAAAUAGAAAUUUUGAGUCGUUAUCAAACAGGUUUCUUUGCUCAGAAACUUGUUCGGGAAAUAGAAAUUAAGAAAUUGAUUUCUGGCAACCUUAAAGUUGGAAAUUUUUUAGGAAAUUAGAUCAUUUAAUCCAGAGAAAAAUCAUAGACAAGAAAAAGAUAAAUAUGAAUUCGUUGAGUUGAUAGGGAUAACUGAAGAAAAUAAUGCAUGAUUUACUUUCUUUUGCUCUCUCGAGGCACCAUGGAGCUUCUUUUUCUUCUUCUUCUUUAACUGAAGAAAAUAAUGCAUGAUUUACUUUCUUUUGCUCUCUCGAGGCACCAUGGAGCUUCUUUUUCUUCUUCUUCUUUAACUGAAGAAAAUAAUGCAUGAUUCACUUUCUUUUGCUCUCUCGAGGCACCAUGGAGCUUCUUCUUCUUCUUCAAAUGAUAUUGAAAAUUCUACAAAAAUCCGAAAUAGGAGGAUGAGACCGAUUUGCAGGGAGGGUAGGGGGGAAUUAAAAGUAUUAUGCGAAACUUGGUGACCAAGGAGGUCUUAUCCUUAGUCAAAAAGGAGAUAAAGAAGGAAGAACGUGAAGGAGGGGUUGGAAAAUGACCGUGCGCUUGACGUGUCCGCGCCGUUGGUCACGAGGACUUGUUGUUGCUAGUCAAGAUUAAGGUGAUUGUCGUACAAAAAGCAAGGGGGGAUUCCAUGUCGGUGUUUCUUUUUCUUGGAAAAUUGGUGUUUGAUCUCAUCCUUUUGGUAUUCACACUCUUUUCGUCAAGCUCCUAGACAGGAACAAGGACAAAAGGCAACAUGAAAUUGGAGACCAAACUAAAUUUUGAAGAAGUGAGGAGGAGAUCGAUAACUCAUAGAAUUUGCAAUUAAGGUUUCCCUUUUAUCUAUUUUGUGAAAAGCAAAUAAUUCAAAAAAAAUUAUGAGAACAAGAAAUAUUUUCAUCGCCCACAAAUAAAAUUAGAUAUGAAUAAUUAUCGAUAAUUAAAACAUAUUUUAUUAGCUGAUUAUUUGGAGUGCUCAAUUUUAGGAACGUGUUUUUUGAAUCAUUCAUUUUUCACAAAUAAAAGAAUCUUAUAGACAUCUAAAGACAAAUCAUAUUCAUCUCAUCCUAGCAUAACUUGUAAGCACUUUGGGUGUAUUUGUUUUUGGAAAAAUUUCGUGAUAAAUGAAAAUGUUUUUCAAAAAAUCAUUGUUUACGAAAUUUUUUUACCUUUUCAGAUUAGAGAAUUUAUUUCCUAACUUUGAGCACAUGUUUUAUUAUUAUUAUUAUUAUUAUUAUUAUUAUUAUUAUUAUUAUUAUUAUUAUUAUUAUUAUUAUUAUUAUUAUUAUUAUUAUUAUUAUUAUUGUAAAUGGUUUUCGAUCAACUAAUCAUUUUUAACAAAUUAAAUGCGUGAAAGUUUAAAAAAUUAAUUUGUAAGAAAAUUUAAACAUAUACUCAUUGAUGUCCUUUCCUGAUGGAGCUCUGCACAACUAGCUGCGUUGCCUAUUUCUCCAAUUCAGUGGCGACCAAUCAUUGGGGUUUGCCCAGUGGCUACCCUUUUAACAUGGAAUGAGGAGACGGGGGGUUCAAAUCCCUAUCUUCUCAGGAGUUGGGGUGGGGACGAUUUAGUUUUAGGAGUGGGUUUCGACUCCCAUACUUUGCAAUGAGGCAGAGUAAAAGUCUGAGAGUGAGAGUUAGAAUAGAGAUAGAGUUGGAUUGACAAAAAAAAUGAAAUUUAGUGUCGACCCAUUAAUAUUUUAAUAUGCAUUAGCACGAGAUUUUCACCAAUUAAUAUACAACUCCCUGAAAAGAAAUAUUACUUUCUACAAAAGACAUAUUGGCCCUAAUCCCAAACAUCAAUUCAUUAUGGGGGCAUUCGUAUGGUGUUGAAGAACGAAUCUCCGGAUCGCAAUUUAUCGUAAAUAUUUAUUAUUCUUUCAUAAUUUUUACACAAGAUAUUGAAACACGCCAAAAAUUUAAAAGGGUUAAGGAUCGAUGGUGAAAAUCACUCCUCUCUAUCCUAUGGCCAUCAUUGGAUUUGCUUCCCAAGAAUCUUUUGAAACCUCUUUCAUUAUAAACCGAAAUCCGUAUGCCUAACUAGCAUUUGGAACAAAUUUCCAAUAAUAACUUUAGUCGCAAAAAAAAACAUUCUAACUAGAGAUGAGCAUAGUCCAAAUAGCCAAUUCCUACGUUGGAAUCAGAAACUAUCCACUAAAGACCGAUUUUGAAAAACUUGGAACAAGGAACCGCUCGUUGAUUCCAUAGAUCCACCCAAGAAUUGAUUCUCAAUCCCUACAAAGUUGCAUUUAUUAAUUUAUAUCAUGACAAACCUAGUUUCUAUUUAGAGCACCAAACCUUAUUCGGCCUUAAAUUCAGGUUGAAUUGUGAGCUAUUGAUUUUGAGUAGGGAUUGGGAAAUAUAGAGCAGAACCAAUAGACAAUACUCGUUAAGUAGGAACUCAAUGUCGUUAAAGGUCAUGAUGUGGUCUUCUUAGGGUUUUCUGACAUCAAGAACAUGUGGAGAAUUAGACUCUACGUUAGAAGUCCUAACCUCCAAAGAAAUUAAAAAAUUAAUCACUUGAUCCAUUUUUUUUUCAACAUCAACUAAUUUAAUCAAGGAAAUGGCUAAUGAGAGACCUAAUUAUUGAAUUUCAUAUUAUGACAAUAAAGCACCGCAACAUUUAUGGACAUCUCCAACCGAUUCUCUCCUUUCUCUUCAUUUGUCUAUUUUGUUUUGGCUAAGAAAGUAUGUAAAUAGAUUAUUAGAAUGAAAAAAAGAAGUAAGAGAUUAAUCCUAUUACACACUCAAAAGAUAAAAUUAGUCAAUAAUAUCCAACAAAUAUAUAUUGGUUAAAAAAAGUAGAAAAUAAUUAAGUAAUUGAGAUAUAAUUUCCUUUUUUUUUAAUAUAUAUACGUACUGGUCUAAUCCAAGUAGGCGAUUCCACGCAUGUAAUCGAGAACCAAAUCAAUACUCACUUGUUUUAUUAAAUUGGAACCAGGAGCCAGACUAGUUCCCACGGGAACUACCGGUUUUGUGCUAGUCUAGUCUAGUUUCAUGCAAUUCCCAAGUCUUUUGAUCCAUCUGUUUUCAACAUCAACUAAUUUAAUUAUACUCUUAAAAUGAGUCAUUGGCUCUUAAUUUUGUAUCAUGACAACGAAGUGCCACAAUAUUUAUGAACAUCUUGAAUAGGUCCUCUCCUUCUUCUUUGUUUGUUUGUUUUGUUUUUGCUAAGAAAGCAAGUAAAUAGAUUAUUAGAAUGAAAAAAAAUGGGGUACAUACUCGAGAGACUUGGUAAAAAAAACUACAAAAUAAUUAAAUAAUGAAAAUAAUUAUAAAAAAUUAAAUAUACUUGUCAAGUUCAAGUAGGAAUUGGAUUAGUACUCACUGAUUUCAUUAGGUUGAAACCAGGACCUGGACCAGUCCUCAUGGGAAUUGCUAGUUUUGUACUAGUCUGGCUUGUUUUUGUGCCGUUUAGAUGAUUUCCGAUUUCUUAACACACCUCUAAUUGUGACUUUUAUAAAGUAUAUUGUAAAUACCUCACACUUAUGGCUACUUUAAAAUUUCAGCAGCCUUUGAUGACUUUCUAGGAAGCCACCGCAGCCAACAUUGAAGUGCUACAAUUUAUAAAAUAUGCAUUUCAUAACCACAAAAAGCCACGUCAUCUUAUACAUUUUUACCAAACUGGCUCUACUAAUUUUGAAAGGGGAAGACCAAGAACAGAGAGUCAACGUCAAGUCUUCGGGCAUUAAUCAUCGCCGACAAUACCUAAUCCACGGCAGGUGGUCCUGGUAAAGCAGACUAGAAAAACUCACUUUUUGCACGGAUAUUGUGAAAAAGCAGAAUAUAACACGUGUUUUUCUUUUUUAUCUUUUGUAUAAUUUAUUUUCGAUUUGCUUUUAAUCCGACUUUUAUAUGGAUAUUGUUAUGAAAUACAUGAAUGGAUAGAAUGCAUGAAUGAAUAUUCAUUAUAUUCAUCUUAUCCAAUGUAUUUAUUAUGGUACAUUUGUAUCAAAUGUUCUAAGUACAUCUCCCUAUACAAUGAACGUUCGUCUCCCUUAUCAUGUACAUGUAUCAUUCGAUACAUUGAUAUUAAUGAUAAGUACAUUCUUGUUCUCCUAUAAAUAGGAGUUUAGUUUUGAUGUACAAUAUACAAUCACACAGAAACACGACAGUGAGAUACUAGAAAUAAAGCUCUCUCAUCUUGCUACUAUCUCUAGUGUUCACUUUCUUUCUCUUCUUUAAUCUCUUCUCUAUUAUAUAUUCGCCACGUGAUAUUUUACAACACGUUAUCAGCACGAGGAUCUACCGAUUGAGUAAGUAACUUUUGCAAGAACGAAGAUCUACCGAUUCAGUAAGUAAAUUUUGCAAGGUGCGUAUUAUUUUUAUUAAUCAACUUAUACUUCAUUUUCUUCUAUCAAUUCUUCAUUUUUAUUUUUCUUGGCCCGAAGCCAAAAUUCAAAUCUAAAAGUAUCCUUCUGCUCCUGAAGUAGCGGUGGAUAUUUGGAAAUCCUUUUAAUUAAUUUAAGGAUUUAUUUUUGCAAGGAUUAUGACAAAUAUUGAAAAGCCCAAAUUCCACAUCCUGGAAGUGAGUGGAAAGAAUUAUCUAUCCUGGUGCCUUGACAUGGAAAUGCACCUCCAAGGGCAAGGUCUCGCUAAUACAAUUACAGAGGAUGGAACCUCAAAUGAAAAGGAUAAAGCAAAUGCGCUGAUUUUUAUUCGCCGUCAUUUGCAUGAGAGCCUGCAGACUCAAUAUUUAUCCGUUCGAGACCCGCAUAUCUUGUGGAGGAGGUUGAAUGAUAGGUAUGAUCAUACAAAAACUGUUAUCCUCCCUCAAGCACAAUAUGAUUGGCAAAAUCUCAGAUUGCAAGAUUUUAAAUCAGUGUCUGACUAUAAUUCUGCUUUAUUUGAUAUCGUUUCUCGGCUAGAGUUAUGCGGUAUCAAACUCACUGAUGCAGAAUUGCUUGAGAAAACUUUUUCCACCUUUCAUGCUUCAAAUAUUGUAUUGCAACAGCAAUACCGGCAACGUCAAUUUGCCACAUUCUGAAUUAAUUUCUGUGCUUCUUACUGCCGAGCAAACUAAUGAAUUACUGCUCAAAAAUCAUGAUCUUAAACCUGCUGGCUCAAAAGCAUUGCCUGAAGCACAUGCUAACUUUGAGAAAAAUACUAGCCAUUUUAAGGGCUAUAAGCGCAGGCAAGAACAUAAUCCUAGAAGGGAUGGCAAGAAAUUUAACCGCCCUAGGAAAUCAAACUUUGGCCUGAAUCAUGGCAAAGAAAAGAAGCAAAAGAAGGUGAUUAAUGAAAGUAUUUGUCAUCGCUGUGGCAUGACCGGGCACUAGUCACGUACCUGUCGUAAGCCAAAACAUUUUGUUGACCUAUACCAGGCAUCUUUAAAGAAUACGGGCAAGCGUGGUGAAUCUCAUGCCAUUGAAAUCAAUCCUACUGCCAUAACCACUGUUGAGGCCAACAAUAUCUCCGUUGAUGGGACUCCUCUUGCUCCUAAAGUAGCAAAUGCAUCAUUGGAUGUCUCUGAUUUCUUUGAGGACCUCUGAUUACUUUGAUGAAUCAUAUUGGUGGAUAAUAAUUUGAACUUUGAAAUUUAUGUUGUUUCACUUUAAAUGUAUUACUUUUUUUUAUUGUUCUUUAUGAAAUACUUAUGAACCUUAUAUAAUAUUUAUCUUUGAAAUUUUAUUCAACUAUAUAACUAAAAUGCAACUUUUAUGAUACUUGACACCUGAAGUUGUCAAUAUAAAUGCAAAUGGAAAAUACCGAGAAAAAGGAAGAUGUUUGUUUGCUUGAUAGAGCAACAACACAUACUAUAUUUUGUAGUAGACACUUUUUCUCGAGUAUGACAUUACGUAAGGCACAAAUCCAUACAAUAUCAGGUUCUGUUCCGAUUAUUGAUGGUUUUGGGAAUGCUGCAAUUAUUUUGCCAAAUGGCACAAUCCUGCAUAUUGAGAAUGCGUUUCUAAGCAUUCGAUCAAAAAGGAAUUUGCUCAAUUUCAAAGAUGUACGCCGUAAUUGGUACCAUAUUGAGACUAUUUAUGAGCAAGAUAAGAAAUAUAUUGUCAUUUCCUCUUAUAAGAUGGGCCUGAAGACCAUCCAUGAGAAGCUAGAAGCUUCUUCUAUGGGUUUGUAUUGUGUCAUGAUUAAAGCUGUUGAAACCUACGCUACCAUAUCCUGGAGAUUGGUAAGCCCUGAUUAGUUUGGACUAUGGCAUGAUCACCUUGGUCAUCCUGGCGCUUCAAUGAUGCGUAGGAUAAUUUAAAAUACAAAAGGGCACCCUUUAAAGGAUAUAAAGGUAUUGUUGUCCAAAGAUUAUAAUUGUGAGGCUUACUCACAAGGAAAGCUCAUUAUCAAACCUUCUAUAACAAAGGUUAAUUUUGAAUCUCCUUUAUUAUUGCAAAGAAUUCAGGGUGAUAUUUGUGGACCAAUACAACCACCAAGUGGACCAUUUUGAUAUUUUAUGGUAUUAGUGGACGCAUCCUGUAGAUGGUCCCAUGUUUGCCUAUUAUCUACGCGCAAUGUCGCAUUUGCACGUUUACUUGCGCAGAUUAUAAAGCUCCGGGCACAAUUCAUUGAUUAUCCAAUUAAGAGCAUAAGGAUGGAUAAUGCUGGUGAAUUUACAUCAAAGAGUUUUGAUACAUAUUGUGCUUCACUCGGAAUCGAGGUUGAGCACCCGGUUGCAUAUGUUCAUACUCAAAAUGGAUUGGCAGAAUCCUUGAUUAAACGUAUCCAAAUCAUUGCCCGCACUCUAUUAUUGAGAACGAAUCUCAACGAUACUGCAUGGGGUCAUGCAAUUUUGCAUGCGGCAGCUCUAAUAAGAUUACGCCCCACUGCUAGUAUUUUACAAUCUCCCCUUCAAAUGGUUCUUGGUUAUGAACCAGAUAUUUCACAUCUACGCACCUUUGGUUGUGCAGUACAGGUGCCUGUAGCACCGCCAAAAAGGACGAAAAUGGGUCCCCAACGCCGUUUGGGCAUUUAUGUUGGGUUUAAUUCACCAUCUAUCAUUAGGUUCUUGGAACCAACUACUGGUGAUCUUUUUACUGCCAAGUUUGCAGAUUGUCAUUUCGAUGAGACUAGGUUUCCAUCAAUUGGGAUACCUACAACUUCCAUGACUGCAAAACAAAAACCAGUUAAGGUUUUUUCCUGGAAUGAGAAAAAUUUAUCUCAAUUAGACCCAAGGACUCCUGAAUGUGAAAACGAGAUGCAGCGCAUAAUCCAUUUAUAGGCUAUGGCCAAUAGACUUCCUGACGCAUUUAAUGAUGCUAUUAAGGUAACGAAGUCUCAUAUUCCAGCUGCAAAUGCUCCAGCUAGGAUAGCUGUUCCCGAAGAACAGGCUAAAAUGGAUCAAAAUCCCCUGCACUUGAAGCGUGGUAGACCGAUAGGAUCAAAAGAUACUGCUCCUCGAAAACGAAGGGGAAAGAAUCAGGAAUCCGCUCCAAAAGAGCUUGGCGUUGUGCUUGCUCCCAAAGAGCUUAUUGCCCCUGAAGAGGCACAAACCCAUGAAAGAAGCACUAGCCCCGGGAAUACUGAGAAUUCCAUUACAUAUUGUAAUGAAAUUUGGGAUCGAAAUGAAAUCAUCAUUGAUGAUGCUUUUGCAUUCUCAGUUGCUCAUCAAAUUAUGGAUGAUGAUUGUGAACCACAAUCUAUUAUUGAAUGUCGUCAAAGGCAAGAUUGGCAUAAGUGGGAGGAAGCAAUUAAAGCUGAAUUAGCUUCCCUAACUAAACGAGAGGUUUUUGGACCUGUAACUCGUAUCCCUGAUAAUGUAAAGCCCGUUGGAUAUAAAUGGGUAUUUAUCCGAAAACGAAAUGAGAAAAACGAGGUUGUCAGGUAUAAAGCCCAACUCGUUGCCCAAGGAUUCUCCCAGAGACCUGGGAUUGAUUAUAAUGAGACAUAUUCACCUGUGAUGGAUAUGAUUACAUUUCGUUUUCUCAUUAGCCUAGCAAUCUUUGAAAGAUUGGAAAUGCGUCUUAUGGACGUUGUGACGGCAUAUCUAUAUGGCUCAUUAGACUUUGAUAUUUAUAUGAAAAUUCCUAAGGGAUUCAAAAUGCCUGAAGCAUGCACUCCCCGCAAUUUAUUUUCAAUAAAAUUGCAAAGAUCCUUGUACGGGUUAAAGCAAUCCGGUCGCAUGUGGUAUCAACGCCUAAGUGAGUACCUAAUUAAGGAAAUGUACAAAAAUGAUCAUAUCUGCCCAUGCGUGUUUAUUAAGAAAUCAGAAACUGGGUUUGCUAUUAUAGCAGUUUAUGUCGAUGAUACAAAUUUAAUUGGAACUCUAGAAGAGUUAGCUGAAACUGCUGAAUAUUUGAAAAGGGAGUUUGAAGUUAAAGAUUUGGGUAAAACCAAACUUUGUCUUGGUCUAGAGCUUGAGCAUAAAGCAAAUGGAAUAAUCGUCCAUCAAUCAGCAUAUGUUGAAAGAUUGCUUAAACGUUUCAACAUGGACAAAGCUCACCCAUUGAGCACCCCUAUGGUUGUAAGGUCUCUAGAUCCCCAAAAGGACCCAUUUCGUCCUAAAGAAUCUGAUGAAGAGAUACUUGGUCCUGAAGUACCAUAUCUCAAUGCAAUUGGGGCUUUGAUGUACUUGGCACAAUGUACGAGACUAGAUAUCGCUUUUGCGGUAAAUUUAUUGGCACGUUUUAGUUCUGAGCCAACUCGGAGACAUUGGAAUGGAGUUAAACAUAUUUUCCGUUAUCUCCGAGGAACCAUAGAUUUGGGAUUAUAUUAUUCCAAGGAUUCCACUAACUCUGGUUUAGUUAGAUAUGCUGAUGCUAGAUAUAGAUCCGAUCCACAUAAGGCUCGCUCUCAAACCGGGUAUUUAUUUUGUUAUAACGUCACCGCUAUUUCUUGGCGUUCUACGAAGCAAUCGCUAGUAGCUACAUCUUCUAACCACUCUGAGAUUAUUGCUUUAUAUGAAGCUGGAAGAGAGUGUGUUUGGUUAAGAUCCGUUAUAACACAUAUUCAUAAUUCUUGUUGCUUAAUACCGGUUACAAAUUCUCCCACUAUAAUUUAUGAAGAUAAUGCUGCUUGUGUUGCACAAGUCAGGGGAGGAUAUAUCAAAGGUGAUAGGACCAAGCAUAUCUCGCCGAAAUUUUUCUAUACUCAUGAACUCCAAGAAAGUCGACAAAUUGAUGUUAAACAGAUUCGAUCCAUAAAUAAUCUUGCAGAUCUUUUUAACAAAUCAUUGCCAACAUCAAGUUUUGAGAAAUUAGUAUAUGGCAUUGGUAUGAGGCGAGUUCAUAAGAUGUAAGAUUGAUUAGCCCCAGAAAUGGCUAUAUGGCUCAAUUGAGGGGGAGAUAUUAUGAAUUAUACAUUGCAGCAUUGAUAUGUGCUAGUUCACAAGAUGCAAUAAUGAUUAGCCCCAGGAGUGGCUAUAUAUGCAUUGCACUCUUUUUUCUUUAUGUCCGGUUUUUUCCCAUAGGGUUUUUCCAGCUUAAAGUUUUUAACGAGACAAUUAAUGCAUCCAUAAAAGGGAGAGAUCAUAACAUUUGUGCUCUGCACUCUUUUUCCCUUUUUGUCCGAUUUUUAUCCCACUGGGUUUUUCCGGCUUAAGGUUUUUAAUGAGGCAGUAUCAUUCAAUGCACAUUCGUAAUGAAUAUGAUGAAUAUUCAAGGGGGACUGUUAUGAAAUACAUGAAUUGAUAGAAUACAUGAAUGAAUAUUCAUUAUAUUCAUCUUAUUCAAUGUACUUAUUAUGGUACAUUUGUAUCAAAUGUUCUAAGUACAUCUCCCUAUACAAUGAACGUUCGUCUCCCUUAUCUUGUACAUGUAUCAUUCGAUACAUUGAUAUUAAUGAUAAGUACAUUCUUGUUCUCCUAUAAAUAGGAGUUUAGUUUUGAUGUACAAUAUACAAUCACAUAGAAACACGACAGUGAGAUACUAGAAAUAAAGCUCUCUCAUCUUGCUACUAUCUCUAGUGUUCACUUGCUUUCUCUUUUUUAAUCUCUUCUCUAUUAUAUAUUUGCCACGCGAUAUUUUACAACAGAUAUUUCCUUUUUACUUUCUCUUGUUCGUUAAAUUUUUGCAUCGAGUACAUAAAUACUGAUGUAUACCUGUAUUUUUCAAUCUUUUUUUCAUUUCAAAUUCUUCUCAUUUACCUUGCUUGAAAUUUUUUUUGCAACUUUACAGUGACUUUCUAAAUUUAUAUAUGUUAAUAUUUUUAUUUAGACUCUUUUAUAUUGUUGCAUCGAUUUCACUGGGAAAUUAUUUUGGUUAUGUCCUUACUUUUGUUAUCAAUGUAAGUAUAGUGUUAAUAAGGCUAUGAAAUUUUAGCAAAAUAAAAAGGUAAAGUGAAAGUUUAUAGAACCAUGGAGUUAUGAUUUUAAAAGGAGAAACAAUAAAUGCAAUUGGAUUUGUUUUGAAUAUUGAUUAUAGUAAAAAAUUUUGUGCUUCAAGUGGUAUUGAAUAAGAUUUGCCACACUCAACUUGAACUAUGGCCAAGUGAGAAACUUGAACCAGAUAAAGAAGCUUAGUAUCCCCAAAACUUUUUUUUUUUUUUAUCAGAGCAAUACAAGUAUUUUUUUCAAGGAGAAAUAUUAUACAAAUCAUUUAUUUUUUACGAAAUAAACAUAGUUUAAUUAGACUUAAAAAAUCAUAAUCAUCUUAUCCUAGGAUAAUUUCUUCUCUAUUAUAACACUAUGACCUUAAAAAUAAAAAUACAACUAUAAUAGUUCAAUAUCAAUGGACAUCCAUCCACAUCAUGCUCUCCAAAAGAGUGAUAUGAAUACUAAAUAAUAACGAUUUGAAUACUAAAUAAUAGAUAUUUUGAUAACUUGAAAAGGUUGAUAUGAAUGUCAUCCUAUUCCGUAAUAUAUCUUAUUAGUUCUACAAUUAUUCUACUUUUGCACGUUAAAUUGUAUUUUGGAUUCUUAUUAAAAAUUAUUCAAAUUGCACUUUUCCUUCCGUGUUAAUUUUUAUUUUUUCAUUUUUUUACAUAUUAGUUGGUGGCCUUUUUGUUAAUAGACAAAAGCCCAUCAAUAUCCUUUCCUGAUGUAACUCUGCCCAACUAGCUUGCUGCGUUGCCAAUUUUCCAAUUGAAGCGAUCCUUUGAUAUUUUAAUAUGCAUUAGCUUGAUAUUUUCACCAAUUAAUAUACAAAUCCUGAAAAAUAAAAUUUUAAUAGACAAAAAGCCCAUCAAUAUCCUUUCCUGAUGUAACUCUGCCCAACUAGCUUGCUGCGUUGCCAAUUUUCCAAUUGAAGCGAUCCUUUGAUAUUUUAAUAUGCAUUAGCUUGAUAUUUUCACCAAUUAAUAUAAAAAUCCUGAAAAUAAAAUUUUAUUUUCUAGAAAAAGACAAGUUGGACCUAAAUCAAUAAAGAAAAAGAUAUUAUUAUAAAUGUCAAUUCAUUUUUGGGCACUUGUAUGGUUUCGAAGGAUGAAACUCCAGAUUGCAAUUUAUUGAAAUUAUUUUUUCCAUUAUUUUUAUUUAAAAUAUUGUAACACAAAAAAAAUUAAAAUGGUUUGUGAUUAAUGGCGAGAUUUACUCUCUUUUCUCUCCAACCCCAUGAAAAAUUAGGGAUAUGCUUUCGAAGAAUCUUUAGAAACCCCUUGUUACAAUCCAAAAUGCAUAUGCCUAUUAUCCUUUUGAACAGUUUUGCUAUAGUAAUUUCAGCUGUUGAAAGGAGCAUUGCGACUUUUGUAAAUUUUUUGGUCAACACCUCACAGCUACAGCUAUGACUACUUUAAAAUUUCAGCAGCUUAUAAUAACUUUAUAGAAAUUAGGAAGCUACUACAAUUUAUAAAAUAUGCAUUUCAUAAACAAAAAAGCCACCUCAUUUUAUAACACACCAUAACUACGUUUGUACCUAUCUGGCUCUACUAAUUUUGAAAGAGAAAGCGCAAAAACAGAGAGUCAACAUCUAGUCUUCGGGUAUUAAUUAUUCCUGACUGGGCCUGGACCACGGAUUGCAAAAUGAAGCUGGCUCAUCGCAGUUUUGCGCGUCGGAUAAACAAGCUAGCAGAUUGGGUGGUAAAAGCCCCACGUCCAGAAUUGGCUAUUUCAUCCCCGGAACUUAUGUUGGAUAAUUAUAUCGGGUAAAAGUCACCUAUAACACAUUUAUUCUGAGCUUUUCUUUGUAACAAAAAAGGCUCCAAACUAAACUAAUGUGACGCAUUUACUCCAAACUUAUACAGUGUGACAUCUUUAUUUCAAAUUUAUUUUUUGUGACAGCAAAAAUCUCAAGCCUUUACUUGUGUGACGAAUUUAUCCAAAAAAUUUGGUGUCUCAGAAAAAAGUUCGGGAUUUUUGGCUUCAAAAAAAAAGUUUGGAGUAAAUAUGAUGCAUGAGUAAAAGUUUGGGAUUUUUUGUAUCACAGAAAAAAAAAUUGAGGUAAAUGUGUCACAGUGGGCAAAGUUUUGAGUUUUUGGCGUCAUAAAAAAUAAUUUAGAUUAAAUGUGUCAUUAUAAGCAAAGUUUGGGAUUUUUUGUAGUUUUUUCCCUUAUAUUUUCACAAACCUAGCUUAAGUUGAUAAAAUUUCUGUUUUUUAGACAAAAAUAUUUUUUGUUGCAGACUAGGAAAACCAACUCUUUGCUCAGGCAUUGAGAAAAAAACAGAAUAAAAUUAUUGUCCUUUUCUUGCAUCGUGCUUUUAUUAUUGUUCUCUUGUUCCUUAAAUUUAAGAGAAGAUAGCAUAAAUGAUCCACAAAUUUUUGUCUCGAUCUGCAAUGUUGUCCUUAAACUUUUAAUUUAUUCAAUAUAAUUCUCGAAUUGUUGGUAAGUAUUCAAUGCCGUCUUUAGGCUUGCUCAAAAGGCAAACCAAAUGUUAUUUUGAUGACGUAGAUUACUAUAUGUUGAGUUGAAUUUUUAGAAAUGAUGAUUCAAUCUAUCUAUCAUUUUACCCAUCUACUUUAAACAAGGAAAAAAUUUAAGCAUUAACACGUCCAUUGUUAUUUGAUGAUAUGGAUUAUUUUAUCCGAAUUAAGAUGAAUAUCUUAUGUGGAUAAUUCAUAAAUAACUUUUUUUUUUGCCCACCAUUCAAACCUAAAAGAUUGGAAGCUACAUCACUAUUCUAGGAAUUAGAUUGAAUACAUGUAGAUAGUUCAAGGAUCAUAUUGUAUAUUGAAACAAAAUUCAUAAACUAUUUAUGUCAUUUUUCUUUGAAUUUUUUAAUCAAGUGCAUAAAUAUUGCAAUGCACCUAUGUUUUUCAAUUUUUUUUUUCAUUUAAAUGAGUUUUAUUUGGAGAGAGUCCCGACAGGGCUCUCUGCUUCAUUUAUAAACACAGACAGGAUAUAAUAAAGUCAGCGGGGCACUUCCAAAAAGCUUCCAUUAGACCUUGAUUUUACUCAAAUUAUCUAAUAAAUGUUUUUGGAGGUAGAACUCACUGAUUUGUCAAACCCAUUAUGACUAAUCCCCGCCAUAUCUCAUUAAACAACAGUUUAGAUUAAAUAAAAUACAAGCUAGAAAUGAAAUAGUAUUUCUUUAUACUUCGGUUAAAAUAUUUUUACAACUUUGCCAUGAAUUUCCAAAUUUAGAUGGAUUGAUUUUUUCUAUUUAAAUUUUUUUAUAUCAUUGUAUUGACCCCAUUGACAAAAUGUUCUGGCUCUGUAUUUGCUUAAAAUCAAUAUAGAUAUACUGUUGAUAGGGUCAUAAGAUUUUAUCACAAUUAAAAGGUACAAGCUUACGCAAUCAUGACUGAGUAUUAAAAUUGUGAUGGAAUCAUGUUUUUAAAUGGAGAAACGAUAAAUGUAAAUUACAUAUUGUAUGUUGAUUUUAGCAAGAAAUUUUGUGCUUCAAGUAAUAUAAAAUAAAAUUUGCACUCUACUUGAACUAGGUACAUGGCCAAGUAAAAAACUUGAGCCAGAGAGAGAAGUUCAGUAUCUCCAUAGCUUCAUUUUCUUGAUCGAAAGUUUUGUGAACUAUGAUUCAGCUACAAUAAAUCACAUGUGACCCCAAACAUUUCUUGACAUUCAAAACUCGAUUAAAUCUAUUAGAGUUAGGUCUCUUCUCGUAUCACAAUUAAUACCGACAUCCUUUCAUCCUUGCUAGAAAAAGAGUUCAACCAAAAAAGGAAGUGUGGAAAUGUGGAAAUUGAAAGCUUAUGGCGUUGUUGAAUUUAUUGAGUUCCUUGCUAGAGAAGGAAAGAACAUUCCACGUGGAAUGAAUCGAUUCUAUCCUCAAAUUCAACCUUUUCAACGAAGUGGAAGAUAAACGAACAUCAAUUCUCGUGUUCUUGACAUUAAAUUUUAGUUUGAUAUAUGGGGAAAACAGUCAAAUUAAUCCAUCUUCUUUGCCCAAGAACUAGACAUAUUGCCAACAGAUGCUCUUUCAUAAACGUGAGCUGCAAUUGGGCCUACAAAAGUUAACAGUUCUUGCAAACCAGGCUGCUUUAUAAUCACCAAGGAUCAGCAAGGAAUGAACUUCUUUUGCAGCGCCUUCUCCGUCUUGUCUUUUUACGAUCGUUCUUCCUUAAGACGACUAGCGACACUUUUCAUUGUCACAAAUUAUAUCAACCGAUCCGGAUCUAGAGUUACCAUCUAAUGAUAUAACAGAGGACCCGUUACCAUAACGCUGAACUGCACAAGAACUAACCACUAGGACCUUAGGACUGAUCAAAGACUAUUCGAUUGCAUCGAUUAAACAUGUCCUAUUAAGUCCGGUGUACAUGCAACAUCUUGAAGCUGCAUCUUCUAAAGGAGAGACGGAUGUGCAUGUACGACAACUGCCGAUCAAAGACUAUUCGAUCCCACUGCUCUAUUUAGCGCGCGGCUUGUCGACAAUAAACAUUUUAUUAAUAUGGCAAACUGUCGAAGUCAUAACGCACAUCACAUUACUCACAUACAAACCCCUCGUAGAUCAAGCUCGGAAACAUUCACUCAGAAAAAAAAAGAGGAGAACGGCUUCAAACGAGUCAUAGAUAACGAGACUACUAUAAAGCAACUUUCAGGCUCUACGACAGACAUCACCAUCACAGACCCAUCCUUCUUUGGCAUCUCCUUCUUUCUUUGCCUCCUCCUCAGCUGCUUCAUUGUCUUCAUCUAACUCGUUUUCAGUUGCUUUCUCUUCUUUAACAGCACAUUUUGGGUGGAGAUCAAAGUCACACUCCUCGCAAUAAUAUGACCACCCCUCCCCCUCUUCAUCGCAGCCAUCACAAGUGUACCGUCUCCUCUGAGCCGGAACGAGCUCGUGCUCUUCAUGCAAAGGUUGCUUCAACUUCUCUGGCCAGCCUUUUAUACUUUCCUUGAACUUUUCCUCAAACUUCUUGAGAUGUUCGGCAGUAAAAGGAUAAGCAUCAGCCCCGUGGUCCAUUAUAAGAUCCCUUGCUUUGUUAGUCACCGUCCGGCCCGUUGGACCUAUGGCUACAAGCAUGGGGAUGCCCCGGACCUUGAAUUUGCGACUCAGGGAUUUCUUCCUCUCGUCACCAAAAGGGAGCGCCAGCCACGGCAUCUGAGCAAAAUAAUUAUCAAAGGCAGUUUGGUCCUUGUCACUGGAGAUGAAGAUAACCUCCAAGGCAUUGCCGGCGGCCUUGAUCUUUUCGUAUGCCUCAGUAAGCACCGGCAGGAAUGCACGGCAAGGAGGGCACCAGUGUGCCGAGAAGUACAGGAGGACAGUCUUCCCUACCAAGUCUGGUACUGGAAUCUGCAAUCGAAGUUAAGGAACAACCUUUUAGAUGAACCACCAAUUGAUGGAGAAGGCACGUGAAAACUACAUCUAUGUAAAGGAUUUUCCUAGCUAUAAACCUGGUUUCAAUCCUUUCCUCGAGUCAAGUAACCCGAGGGACAACUGUAUAUGGGGCCCCAGUGUAGACAUCAAAAAUUUCCCCAGUCAUUAGCUUCUAGGGAAAAAACAAAUUUACCUUGGUUCCAUCCUUUCCAAUGACAAAAUCCAGAUCCCCUGAAACCAAGAUCGACUCCAAGGUCUGAGAUUCUUCCCUUUUCUUCUCUAUCUCUGCAAGCUCUGCAAACUUUUCUGGAGUGAAGGGAUAAGCUGUGAUGCCAUGCUCUUCGACAGUUUCGGCAACGUUGGCAUGGACAGUCUUCCCAUCCUGACCGAUAAUGACCAGAGUGGGUAGGGUCGACAGCUUAAAGUACCUCACCAACUUCUCGCAUUUCUUGUCUUUGAAUGGUAAUGAAAGCCAUGGCAUGCUGCCAAAGGAUUGGUUGAAUGAUGCUUCAUCAUCAUCGAGAGGUAUCUGAACGAUCUCAAAACUCUCUCCUCUGGCCUUCAAUUUCUCAUAAACCUCCAGUAACUUAGGCGUGAAAUCGACGCAUGCCCUGUGCACGGACAACGAGAAGUACAGACCCACUGUUUUCNNNNNNNNNNNNNNNNNNNNNNNNNNNNNNNNNNNNNNNNNNNNNNNNNNNNNNNNNNNNNNNNNNNNNNNNNNNNNNNNNNNNNNNNNNNNNNNNNNNNAAUCAUAGCACAUGCGACCAUGAGUUUCAAAUGCAUCGAGAUCUUUUUAGGUUUACCUGAUUCCGAUUGACGAAACUACGAAGUUACGAGAUCCAUGGACCAAAAGAGAGGUCACUGAUUGAUUUAUCCUAGUAGCUUCUUCCUGGUCUUUCAACUCUUUGAUACGUUCUGGAGUGAAAGGGUGACCUUCCACUCCAUACUCACGGACAAUCGCAACUCCGCUAUCUGUUAAGACCGUACCUGUGCCAUCGAGAAUGACAAGGUGGGGUAUCCCCCUCACCUUAAACAAUUCAUCCAAGCUAUUGCGCUUGUCCAAGUCGGAAAACGGGAUUGCAAGCCACGGCAUCUUGGAAAAGUAUCCACUGAAGGACCCUUCAUCCUUAUCUGCAGAGAUAAAAAUGAUCUCCAGAUCACCUUUUGGGGAAAGUUCAUCGUACACCUCCGCCAGAAUCGGGGUGAACCGGUGGCACGGACCGCACCACGAUGCGGAGAAGUACAAGCCAAUCUUCUUCCCCUUCAAGCUAUCGACCUUAACCUGAUAUAGAACAAAAAGAUUCCUAAUUUUAGUUCUUUCAUACGGUAAUCAGCGAGCAAGGCACACUAGAUCACUUGACCACCACACAAAAAUCCUGAAAAUGCUCAAGAUACACAUCCAAAUGCCAACUGCAGAAGCACUUCCCUUAUGCACUGCUCAUUAAAUAGUUAGCAAAUCAGCAGUCUUCGCCACCAAAACAAGUAUACCACACCGAAGGUGUGAGCAUUUACACUAAAGAGCAUUACUUCAUAGCAAUAUCGGAUCCAUAUACACUGCUCCCACCCGAUCCAACUCCAAGUAACAUGUCUUUCUCUAAAAAGUAAUGCAUCAACUACCGAUCAUCCAGUUUCUGAAGGAAACAAAUGGACAGCACUCGAAAAUGAUGAUCCUAGAUCAGACCAACUUUAGCUUCUCUUGAACUAAAUUUAAAAACCGAUCAGCGAAACAACCCCACACGAAGACGAAGGCCACGAGAACUUCGACAAGGACGCCCACCCAUAAUUCUUUUUCUUUCACCUCAUCCAGCGAAAGAGCAAGAGUGAAAGAAGAGAACUGAGUUUCACCUGAUCGCCGUUGUUCCGGAUGAGGAAGUCCCUGUCCGGAGAAGACAGGAGGGACUGAACAUCGUGAGAAGAAGCCCCGCCUUCGACAACGUCCGCCAUCCUGGUCGCGUUCGUUCCUUGUGUCCUGUUCUCGUGUCUCUGCAGAGAGUCUGCCUGAGAACCNNNNNNNNNNNNNNNNNNNNNNNNNNNNNNNNNNNNNNNNNNNNNNNNNNNNNNNNNNNNNNNNNNNNNNNNNNNNNNNNNNNNNNNNNNNNNNNNNNNNGCAAAGAACCAAACGGAAAGAACAUCGGCAUCUAAACUUAAAAGGCGCACGAACUCAUCUUCCAAUCCGGCAAGAUAAGCCCCAACCAAGAAUCAGAUCAGCAAAUGCUCUCGACCCCCACCCUCCCCCAGUUUGAAAUUCAAGAACCGAUCACCACAAGGCCAAGAAUUUCUCGCACGAAACUGGGUAGUCAGCGAAACAACGAGAACUUCCACAAGGACGCCAACCAACCCACAAAAUUCUUUUCUUUCUCCCCUCUUCCAAAGGGAAAGAGCGGGGAGUGAAAGAAGAGAACCGGGAUGGACAGGGUGAUCGCCGUUGUUCGAGAAAAAAAGGGGUCCCUGUCCGGAGAAGACAAGAGGGACUGCACAUCGUGAGAAGAAGCCCCGCCUUCGACAACUUCCGCCAUUCUCGUCGCCUUCGCUGCAGCGUUCUGGUGUCCUUGCAGAGCGUGCUUGAGAAAUCCUCCUAUGGCGGGCUUCUGCACCUUGCUCCUGUUUAUAUAGACAGAAAAAACUCAGGCAGGCAGGUCUUUUUUUUUAUAAUUAAAUUAUCACCGAAAUUAACUCUUUAAUUUUUCCUUCUUUUUUUUUUUUUUUGGGGGUUCUGGAUUGUUCCUUGGACUUUCGUGGGGCGCAAGGAUGGCAUCUCGGGAGAUGGGCUCCAACGUUGGUACGCGUCCACGUCAGCAUAUUAAUUGUCUUCUUUUUCCUUACUUCGAUUUUUUUUAUCUUAUUUAGCCCUUUUGCCAUUUUAUGCUUCCUCCUCCCCCAAGAAAUCUCCGCUGUAGAAGUCCGCAAAGAAUCAUUUAUUUUUACCCUCUCGAUAUUAUAAAAUGUUAAAUCUUAAUUUUUUUGUAUUUCAUUCAAUACUUUAGAUUUUGUCUUUUCAUUGGCACGUGGGGGCGGUGGGUGAAUAUAUCUCUAAGGGUGCGCAUGGUUUCAUUUCUGUUCCUUUUCUGUUCCCAGGAACAGAAACAAAAAAAAGUGUUUCUGUUCCGGGGAACAGUUUCUGAACAAAAAAACGCGUUUGGUAAGUGUAAAAAAAAACUGUUCUUGGAAUAAAAAAAGAACAGAAAUAUGUUUGGUAACUGCAGUCAAUUUCUGUUCUUAGAAUAGAAAAAGAACAGAAACACGUUUGGUAAACGACAAAACAAUUUCUGUUUUUUUUUUUGAUAAAGUUUAAAAUUGAUAUUAAAUUGUCAUUCUUAUGAAAUGCUCAUUAAUUUUAUUUUGUUCAUGGUUAGUGAAGACAAACAUUUUUAGCAUGAUCAUAUGGCAUAUUUCGUAUAAAAUUUUGUAAUUAAAGUUUGUAUCUAGUAAAUUCAAGUACAACCACGCUGCACCCCGACUUUAGCUAACCCCCUUGGUGGUGAAAUCGUCCUUCAACGCCCUCGCCACGUGCUUCACCAGCCUGUCCAUUCCACAUCACCAUGAGCAACAAAAUAACAAUAGAAGGAAACCACAUCACCAGCCUAUUCAUUCAAAAUCACCAGCCCCUGUCCACCUCGCUAGAGCUGCAGCAGCAGCUGCUGCACGAGCAGCUCGAGCGAGCUGCUGCAGCAGCUGCUGCUCGAGCAGCAGCAGCAGCUCGCUCGAGCAGCUCUAGCUGCUGCUCGAGCAGCUGAGCUGCAGCUCGAGCUGCUGCAGCUGCUGGAGUUGAGCUGCAGCUCGCUCGAGCUACUGCUCCAGCAGCUGCAACUCGAGCUCGCAGCAGCUCGAGCUGCUGCAGCAGCUACUGCUCGAGCAGCUCGAGCUGCUGCAGCUGCUGGAGUCGAGCUGCAGCUCGCUCGAGCUACUGCUCCAGCAGCUGCAACUCGAGCUCGCAGCAGCUCGAGCUCGAGCUCGCAGCUGCUCGAGCUCGAGCUCGCAGCAGCUCGAGGCAGCAACUCAAGCGAGCGAAGGGGGAGGCAAUGACGAGCUGCAGCUCGAGCGAGCGUUGCUCCCCUUCGGCGCGGCAGAUCUGGGCGAGCAACGCUCGCUCAAGCCUUGAGCGAGCAAUGCUCGCCCAGAUCUGCGGCAGAUCUGGCCGAGCAACGCUCGCUCGAGGGACGGCUCGCCGCGCCGAAGGGGGAGCAGUGCCGACCGGAGAAGGAGCGCCGAAGGGGGAGCGACGCUGACCGGAGGAGGAGGGCCGAACGGAGAGCAACGCUGACCGGAAACGUACCUGGAGUCGCCGGAGAGUUAGCCGAGUGGGAGCCGCCGGAGAGAUGGAAGACACGCCGGAAACGGAAGAACGAAGCUUCAGCCGAGAGGAGCGACGACGAGCACGCACGAAGAGUUCUUCGCUUUGUUCCGAAUUUGUUCUUUUGUUUCUUUCGUUUUUGUUCUUUUGUUCUGUCGAAGAAGUGUUUCUUUUCAAAAGAAACAACUUUUUUUUGUUUCUUUUUUCUGUUCCUAUUUCGUUCCAGAAACAAAAAAACAAAAAAGGAACAAAAACGCAACCAAACGCGUUUCUGUUCCUUUUUUGUUCCCGGGCACACUUUCCGUACAAAAGUGUGCCGGAAACGUUUCUUAGAAACGUUUCCAUGCACGCCCUAAAUGGUCGGUUCAUCCUUCCUGCAACGGUUGAAUUAUAUGAUUAUUAAAACCAAAAAGUGCGCCUUCUUAGCCCUCGUCCAAAUAAAUGGUAAUCAGAAAUUGAAAAAUUUAUAUAAUUGGGAGGAUGAGGCUGAUUUGCAGGGAUGGAAAGAGGGGAAGUUGAAAAGUAUCAUGCGAAGUAUUAUUCUUAGUGGCUAAGAUUGUGCCAUCCGUUAGUCAAUUACCUAGACACGUUGGCAAAGCUAUGUCUUUAUCUUCUCAUUUUGUUCAUUAUUGACCCGUUGACCAUUCCUUGCUUCCUUCCCAAGUAGUCUAUCCCCAAAAAUUAAACUUUGACAAAAUUUUAUUUUUUUAACCCUCUCAAUUUUCAUAUAAGUUUGGUUUAAAAUUUUUUAAGAGCUAAAUUGCAUUUUUGCCUUUUCUCCGCCCAUGGGACGACAUUAAAUGAGAAAUUAAAGGUGUGAUUGCUCAGGUCAUUUUUUUUUAUUAUAAGUUUGUUUUAAAAUUUUUGAGAAUCUCAAUUUUACCCCUUAGUUUUUGGUUGGUCCCACCCCCCCCCCACCCCCCCAAAAAAAAAGGUUGACGCGCCUUCUUAUCCCUAGUCCAAAAAUAAUGAGACAGGGUAUGAAAAGUGGGUAAAAAUGUCGCGAUUAAUUUGUUCGAGAGAAAAAUUAGAGAUAAGAGAAAGAUGAUUACAGAUUCGUUGAUUUGAUAUGGAUAGUUAAAGAAAAGAAUUAUUCCAAAUGAUUAAAAAAAUGGAAAUUUUAUUGAAUCAAAAGUUUGCAAUAAUUAGGAGGAUAAGACUGAUUUGCUUAGGACACGAAUGAUAACCAUUCUAAUAUGAAAUUGAUUUUUGUAACAGAAAUAAAUUUUUAUAUUUUUAUUUUUGGACGAGUUUCUGAGUGACAUCGACCAACCCAAUUUUUUUUUUUUUGAGACCAACCCAGAGUUGACCACCCCUCUUGUGGCACCUUGGAGCUCCGUUAAGCUAUUUACCAUUUUCUUCUUCUGCUUCUUUAUUUUUUUUUUAAUUUUCGAAACUUUACUAAUUUGCAAUUAUUUGGCAUAUAAUAUCAAUAAAGACUACGAUUAACAAUAAUAGUGAGCAACCAAACGGGUCCUUCCAAAGUGAAAAUUACAAAUUUUCAAUUCUUAUUAAGAUUUCAUGUUUAAUUUACCCUCUUAAAUUUCCAUAACCGGAAGUAUCAAUUGCCUUGUAGCUUUAUGAAGGGAAAAUUAUCAAAUCAAUCAUGAGCAUAUUAUACAAAUAUCAAUUCAAUCAUUAAUUUUUUUAAUUUUCUCAAUUUUAUUUUAAACCUUUCCAAGAAAAUCGGCCACAAUAACUGAAUUGGCAACAUUGAAAUUUAGGAUCAAAUUGACAUUCGCAUAACGGGUUUAGGACUGGUUGGACAAGUAGAAGCGGAAUGUUAUUUAUUUAUUUUUUAAUAUUUAUUUUGGUGGUGUGUCGUUCAAAAGCUAAAGGCCAAAUAGGGCGUCGGGUUAGUCGAAAGGAGCCAAAAAAUAAAAAUAAGAAACAUAAAAGAAAUGAUAGUGACGGACCCCAGACUUUUGGGACCCACGCCGACGAAAGAGGGAACGGGGAGACUUCCAACCGGAAAGAGCAUUAAAUAAUAUAGGUAAGGCAGGUUCCAUCCUUCACCCGUGAUGAAAGAGAUGCCCAGUGGAUGACCAAAACCUUGAUGAAAGAAAUACCUCUGAAACCACAUUCUUAUCACCCGUGUCUAAAAUUCCUAAUUAAAUAGACAUAAAGAUAAGUAAAUGGUAAUUAUCUCGUGUCCCAACAUAAUAUGCCAUGCGAUAAUCGCAAUUUUCUCCACCAUUAUAGUAGCACGAUCUUGAAAAAAAAAUCAUAAUGGUUCGAUCUCAGUGUAUCCCAUCAUCCAUCAUACCCUUGAGAAGAGAACUGGAUCUUUAUAAGCUUCUUAAACAUCUCUUUUUUUUCUUUUUCUUUUUUUGGAUCGAAUGACUUUCCCUUAAGUCUCAAACUCUUCCUCUUUUAUAAAGGAAAAUAAUUUCAACUAAAAGUCCAUUUGUUUUGUAAAAAAUAUUUUCCAUGAAAACGUAUUUCUUAUUUUCUGGCAUUUGGUUCAUUUAGAAAAAUAAAUCAAUAGAAAAUAUUUUCCUAAUCAAUGGAAAAUAUUUUCCCAUCAAAACUUAAACUCAGGGAAAAAAUUUUCCUAUCAAAACUUAAAAUUAGGAAAAUGAUUUCCCUUUUGAAAGAAUCAGAAAAAAAUUUCCAAAAUGUUUUACUACUCUAAUGAAACAUUUAUUCUUAUUAAAAUAAUCUAAAAAAAUGUUGAAUUUUUAAUUUUUUUUAAUUAUGUUAUUAUUAUUUUUCUUUUUCUUUUCUUCUUUACUCUUUUCUUUCUUUGCCUUUCUCCUUCUUCCUCCAUUGGUCGCGUACCUUAGUGACAACUAGCAGCCAUCGACCAUGACGCGGGUCAACAAGCUUGAAUUGGUGGAGGCUGGCAGGCUCCUGGCGAGCUCCUGGCUUGCUUGAUCCCAGCAAGCUUAAGCUCACCUGUGGCCGUUGCUGAGACUCGACGAUUGGUAGAGGGAGAUGGUAAUAGAAAAAGAAAGAAAAUAAAAUAAAAUUUUUAAAAAUAUGAUUUUUUUUAAUUGAAAUUAUUUUUCGAAUGAGAUUCAAACACUAAAAAAUAUGUUCAAUCACAUAUCACUAAAUAAAUAAAAACUAACUAUUUUUCUAAAAGAUGAUUUUCUGAAAAUGAUUUUCGUUUAUCAUGAAGUUUUUCCUCAAACAAACGCAUCCUUACGAUGUUACGACAUAGACACAAAAUGAUAGAUAAACUAAUAAAUGAAAACAAUAUAAAUAAUCCAUGAAUUUUGGUUCAAUAUGCAAUGUAGUCCCUUAACUUUAAUUUAUUCAAUAUGAUCCAUGAAUUUUAGCUCAAUAUGGAAAAUUGCCAUUGAACUUUUAAUUUUUUUCAAUGUACUCCUUGAAUUUUUAAUAUAUGUUUAAUUUAGUCGUUGGACUCUAUGAAACUAUUUAUUAUUGUCCAUGAUCUUGAAUUAAUGGAAAAACUACAUUGAAUAUUUUCAUAAAGUUCAAAGACUACAUGUACAUUAAACAAAUUAAAAGUUCAGAGACCACAUUAACAUUAAACUAAAGUUUAGGGAGUUUAUAAAUCAUUUAUGUCAUUAUUCCAACUAAGAAUUCAAAAGAAUCUACAUAAAUACCAUAUUAUCCCAGUUACUGUUGUACACCCUAUUAUGUUUUGGGCUCUUUCCAAAAUUAUUCAAAUCACGAUUUUCGUUCUUUAUUAUAUUUUUUGUUAUUUUUUGUCCAUAUUAGCGGGUGGCCUUUUUCUUUAAUAGACAAAGGCUCAUGGCCAUUUAUCUAGUUUGAGUUUUUUUUUUAGUCAAAAGGAAAUUUACAUUCAUUAUGAAACUAAUGCAUAAAAGGAAAUCUCAAAAGUCGCAGUAACAAAAUAAACGAAUAACUAGAAAUCAAGGUGUUUUAUUAGAGUAUGAUUGGCAGAGAUUAUCACAAGCUCGUUUGUCAAGAACAGAUCUAUAAUGACAGAGAUCAUUACAAGGUUGUCCUUCAAGAGUAGAUCUGUAACCGGAUCCAAGCGAAAGGAUUGACGGCCAAUCACCGACUUACACAGUAUUAUCAGUGAUAAGCACACGCCACCAUUUGUAAUUAUGAAUUUGCCUUUUGAGUGAUUAUGUGCGCCUAAGUUCGGCGUCCAAACCACCAUCACCUUAUGUAGACAACAUAAGUAUAUUAAAAAUCUUAGAUCCGACACUUGUGAGAGUGAGUCUUGCAGAUCUAGUUUAAGCUCGAAAGGUUUUACUAUAAUCAAUAUUGAAAACGUAUUGAUUUGCAUUUAUUAUUUCUCCUUUUAAAAACAUGACCCCAUCACCAUUUUAAUACUUAGUCAUUAUUGUACAAGCUUUUACCUUACCUUUUUACUUUGCUAAAAUUACGUAAUCCUAUUAACACUAUAUUUAUAUUGAUUUCAAAAGUAGGAACAAAAACAUAAGUGAGCUCAAUAAAAACGAUACAGAAGAGUCUAAACAAAAAUUAAUUAACCUAUGUACGUAUAGAAAGUCAUUGUAAAGUUGAACAAAAAAAAUUAAAAGUACAGGUACAUAUCAUUAUUUAUGUACUCGAUGCAAAAAUUUAACGAAUAAGAGUCAGAUAAGAGGAAAAAUGUCCAUAUAAAAGUCCGAUUAAAAGCAAAUAUAAAUUUUACCAAAAAAAAAAAUGAAAAAACACGUGUUGCGUGAUGCCCGAAGACUUGACGUCGACUCUCUCUUCUAAGUCUUCCCCUUCCAAAAUUAGUAGAGCCACAGAGGCACCUGUCGUGCGUUCCAAAACGAUGUGGCUUCUGUGUUUCUUGAAAUGUAUAUUUCAUAAAAUUGCAGCACCUCGACACCGGGUGCGGUAGCUUCUUGGAAAAGUUAUUAUAAAACUGCCGAAAUUUCGAAGCAAUUGUAGCCACGAGGCAUUUACUGAAUACUUUACGGAAGAAGCAACUCUUCAAAGCCAUUCCAAAUGAUAGUAAGCAUGUGAAUUUUUGGAUCAUAAUGAAGGGAGUUUCCAAAGAUUUUUAGGAAGAAUUCCCUAAUCAUUAAUGGCUGCAUAAAAAAAGAGACUGAAUUCCAUUUUUUUUUUAUAAAAAUUAUGAAAGAAAUAAAUAAUUAUGAUAAAAUUACGAUUAGGAGAUUUUUGUCCUCCACCACCGUACAAGUGGCCCCAUAAUGAAUGAACUGAUGUUUGGGAUUAGGACCAAUAUGUCUUUUGCAGAAAAUAAUGUUUAUUUUCAGGAUUUGUACAUUAAUUGGUGAAAAUCUCAAGCCAAGGCAGAUUAAAAGAUUAACCGGUCACUGCUCAAUUGGAAAAAUAGGCAACACAACUGGCUAGUUGUGUAGAGCUACAUUAGGAAAGGAUAAUAAUGACCUUUGGACGUAUUUGUUUAAGCGAAAGAAUUCUUUAUGAAUUAAUUUUCCGAACUUUCAUAUAUUUGAUUUGUUAAAAAUGAUUAGUCGAUAGAAAAUCAAUUGUAGUAAACAAAAUAUAUGUAUAAUAAAUUCCCUAAUUUGAAAAAGGGAAAAUAUUAGCUUAAAAAAUAAAAAUAAAAAAUUCGAUAGCAUUUUCUUUUCUGAUCAAAAAAGCAUUUUCUUUUAUCAUUUGCAGUUGGAAACCUUAGUCGUGACUCUAAUACUAUCAAUUUUUGAUCUCCUCCUCCCCUGUUGAAAGUUUAAUUUGAUCUCAAAUUUCAUGUUACUUUUUUUCUCGAAUGGGUAUAGAUAAAGGAGCUUGACCAAAUAGUGUGAACACCAAAUGGAUGAGAUCAAAGAUCAAUUUGAAGCAUUUACAUUGAAUAUCCCCUUGUUUUUGUAUGUGCUUGGUCUAAGCGACAAAAUAUUACGUGUUCAAGUGAUAGACGCAUCAGUUUUACACAAGUCUAUUUCAUGAUUGACACGAAUUACUUUUGGACCCACCUAUCAGAAAUCUUUGCAUUCUCUCCCUCUCUUCUACAUCUUUCCCUCCCAAAAUUAGUAGAGCCAGAUGGGUGUAGAGACAGUUGUGGUGUGUUCCAAAACAACGUGGCUUUUGUGUUUUUGGAAAUGUUUAUUUCAUAAAUUGCAGCACCUCAACACCGGGUGUGGUAGCUUCCUAGAAAAGUUAUUAUAAAACUACUGAAAUUUCGAAGCAAUUGUCGCUGUGAGGCGUUCACCGAAUAUUUAUAGAAGCCGCAAUGCUUCAAGGCCAUUCUAAAUGAUAAUGAAGAGGGUUUCCAAAGAUUUUUGGGAAGAAUUCUCUAAUCAUUAAUUGCUGGAUAAAAGAAGAGAGUGAAUUUUACUAUCUACCGUAAGUCCUAAGUUUUCAAUUGUGUUACGAUAUUUCUUUAAUAAAAAUUACUAAAGAAAUAAAUAAUUAUGAUAAAUUGCGAUAAGGAGAUUCGGUCCUUCAACACCAUAUAAGUGGCUCCAUAAUGAAUGAAUUGAUAUUUGGGAUUAGGACCAAUAUGUCUUUUGCAGAAAAUAAUGUUUAUUUUCAGGAGUUGUAUAUUAAUUGGUGAAAUUCUCAAGCUGAAGCAGAUUAAAAGAUUAACAAGUCAACGCUUAAUCGGAAAAAUAGGCAACACAACUAGCUACAUUAGGAAAGGAUAAUAACGACCCUUUGGAUAUAUUUGUUUGAGCGAAAGAAUUCUUCGCGAAUUAGUUUUCUGAACUUUCAUGUGUUUGAUUUGUUAAAAAUGAUUAGUUGAUGGAAAAUCAAUUAUAAUAAAAAUAUAUAAAUAUAAUGAAUUUUCUAAUCUGAAAAGGGAAAAAUAUUAGCCUAAAAAAUAAAGAUUUUUCAAAAGCAUUUUCUUUUUUGACAAAAAAGAAAUUUCUUUUAUCAUUUAUGGUCGAAAGCCUUAGUCGUCGAUAUGAUACUAUCAAUUUCUGAUCUCCUCCUCCCUUGUUCAAAGUAUAGUUGAUCUCAAGUUUCAUGUCACCUUUUUUCUUUUUGAGUGGGUGUAGAUAUAGAAGCUUGACCAAAGAGCGAAUGCCAGAUGGAUGAGAUCAAAGACCAAUUUCCAAGAGAAAGAAGCAUCUACAUGGAAUAUUCCCUUGUUUUUAUAGAAAUCCAUUCCACCAUUGACACGUAUCACUCUUGGACCUACCUGUCAGAAAUCCUGACAUUCUCUCUCUCUCUCUCUUCAAUUAUGUGACACUCUCUCCUCUCUCUUUUGCGUUUUCUGAUACAAAGGACAAAGCCUACUCUAUUUUUGUCAAAAUGCUCUAUAUCCCUUCCAAGAACUCGCCGCUUCAAUCUUCGCUCACUUCUUCUCCGACCUCCAGCCCUACCACCUCUUGUCCAACUCCUCGUGCGCCCUCUAUGGUCACGUUAGCUAGGAGCUCGAGGCCCUCUACCGCGUUGACGGACCAUGCUGUUGCCUCCACCUCCGCCUCAUUCCUUACCUGGUCAAAGUUGAGCUCUAGAUCACAAAUCUAGGGCUUACUUGAGCUUAGACCCAAAAUUUGAGGCUCAAGUUCAUUGAUUCAGCUUGAACUUGAUAAUGGAGGACUAAGAUGAUGGUGAAAUGGUGGUAGAAGGCAAUUUACGGGAUUAAGUUGAUAAUGAGUUUGACUUGAGGUGUUGUCGUCUCUCGCAAAGUGAAAGGAGGAAGAAAAAGAAAAAAAAAGGAAAAAAAGUAAAAACAUUAAUUAAAGAGAGAGGAUAUAAGGGUUUUUCAUAGGUGGGCCCAAAAGUGACAUGUGUUGGACAUUAAAUGGAUAUGUGUAAAACUAAUGUAUCUAUCAUUUGGACACCUAACAUUUUCUUGGAUCUAAACAAAAAUAAUCACGUUACACGUCACCAUGGCCACGUUAGUGCAUAGUCAUUUUCCAACCACUCUUUCACAUUCUUUCCUCUUAAGCUCCUUUGGGACAACAAUUAUGUUAUCGAGAACAAUUUCGGUUCAUAAAUAGUUUUAUUUAUUUAUUUAUAUUUUUGGAAAUAAAAAAUAGUUUUUAUUUAUCUAUUAUCUCUAUUCCAAAUCUAUUUCCUGAUCACUUAUCUAUUCUGGAAAGUAGAAUAAUUAAUUGACGUACACAAAUGGAUUUAUGUUCUUGAAAAACAAAAAGAUAGAAAAACAGAAAAAUACACUAGUUACCAAACAAGUCAUAAGUUUUGCAUAAUACUUUUUCAAACUCCUCCUUUUCACCUCCUUGGAAAUCAGUCUCGUCCUCCUAAUUAUCGCAAAUCUUCUUCUUCUUCUUCUUUAAUCUUUUUCUUAUUUAAGAUUCUCAUUGAAUUAAUAUAUAUAUAUAUAUAUAUAUAUAUAUAUAUUUUUUUUUUUUUUGGUCAUUCCUAGUCUAUGUCUACUCUACACUCACUUGUAGACUUGUGCCCUGCCUCUUGCAGGGCGUGGGAGUCGCAACACACUCUCGAAACUUACGCGUCCUUACCCCCCAUCCCCCAUGAGAAGGUGGGGAUUUGAACCCCUCACCUCCCCCUUCCAAGUUGGAAGGGUGGCCACUGGGGCGAACCCCCAGUGGUUAUUAAAAUAUAUUGAACUUGACGAUUUUGCAACUGUUUAUUUGGAUUAGGGUUAGGGCCCCGUUAAUUUGUUUUGAGGGUGAGGCGACGGUGAAUCGAGCCCCCACAGACCUGUUCACUUAAAGCUCCCUUGCUGAUAAAAAGGCAAAAUCGCAAGCUUAUGAAUAAGAUAUGCUUUUAAAAAACUAAGAUUUAACAUAUUGUAAUAUCGAAAUGAAAUUCUUUGCAAAUUUCAAAAGGAAUGGUAAAAGAGGUAUAUAAAGAAUAAAUUGCGCCGUUUGUAAGAUGACGUGGCGUUUAUGUUUUUGAAAUCUAUAUUUUAUAAAUUGCAACACCUUAAAGUCAGUAGCUUCCUCAAAAGUUAUUAGAAGCGGCUGGAGUUUUGAAGUAGCCGUAAUUGUGAGGCGUUUACCAAAUACUUCAUAAAAGUCGUAACGCUCCUUUUUACAAUUGAAAUUGCUUCAGAAAAUCUGUUCCAAAUAGUAAUAGGCAUGUGAAUCUUAGAUUACAAUGAAGGGGGUUUUUAAAAAUUCUAGGGAAGAGGAUCCCUAAGCCUUAAUGACCAUUAGAUAAUAAUUAAAAGAGAAGAAGAAGCGAGUAUCACCGUUGAUCACGAACACAUUUAAACGUUUGCAUGUUAUAAUAUUUUAUAUAAAAAUUACAAAUAAAAGUAAACAAUUACGAUUAUUUGGGAUUGGGAGAUUCGUUCUUCGAGAUCAUACGAGUGCCCCAUAAUGAAUUGACGUUUAGGAUUAGUACUUCUUGGUUGAUUUAGGACCAAUAAUUUUCUUUCUAGAAAAAAGAAAUUUUCUUAUUCAGGAUUUGCACAUUAAUUUGUGAAAAUAUCAAGCUAACACAUAUUGAAAUAUGGGAAAAUUCCAAAUAAAGGCAUAAAGUGUUAUCAUUUUCUCAAAUAAGGACUCUAAAGUGAACCUUAUAUCGAAUAAGAAUCUAAAAUAGACAUGGUUGUUUCAAAUGAAGGCCUAACCUCGCCGAUUGCCAACUUGGCUAAAUAUUUUGAUUGAGUAAAGGCAUUUUCAUCCAAUUAUAAUUAUAAUUAUAAUUUUUUUUAUCAUUUCCUUUUCUUUAAUUCAUUUUUUUUCUGAUAAGGGCUCAGCGACCCUUUCUGGCUACGAGCGAGGCCACCCUUGCCUAGGGCCGACGAGGGCUUAAUGACCCUCGUCUGCCAUUGGCCUCCCCUAAGGUAAGGCCGCCCCUCGCUUGCUGUUGGUGAGGCGACCCCCACCUAUGUCCAAAGACAAAUCAUAAUCAUCUUAUCCUAGCAUAACGUGUAACCCGAUGCCGUACUUUAGGUGUAUUUGUUUUUGGACAAAUUUCAUGAUAAAUGAAAAUGUAAUUUAGGAAAUCAUUUUUCAGGAAUUUUUUUCCCCUUUUCAAAUUAGAGAAUUUAUUUUCCUAACUUUGAGCACACAUUUUUUUCACUGUAAAUUGUUUUCUAUCAAUUAGUUCGUAAAAAAAUUUAAAUAAAUACUCAUUAAUGUCCUUUCCUGAUGUAGCUCUGCACAAUUAGCUAGCUGCAUUGCCUAUUUUUCCAAUUCAGUGGUGACCCAUUAAUAUUUGGGUUAAUAACCUGAAAAUUUGCAAACCAGUACACAUGUGACAAAUUUACUCUAAACUAUUUUUUUUACAAUCAAAAACUCCAAAUUAGUAUACCUUUGGCAAAUUUACCAUAUGUUAGUUUUCGUUAAAUUUUACUAUCAAAUUAUUAAGUUAACAUGUGACAAUUGACUAGUAUACCAAUCUUGAAUUUUACACUCUGUUUGUCACAGUUUACAAUUUUUGUGAUGUUUUUGUGGUAUUAUUCCAAUUUAGCAGAUGAUAUAUUUGUUACAAAUUUAUUAAUUUGGGGUUUUUUGCGGUCAAAUAAAUUAGUUUUGGGUAAAUUUGUCAUAAACGUACCGGCUUAUGAUUUUUUUAUGGUUAGUCGGGGUAAAUUUGUCACAAGUAUACUGGUUUGAGGUUUUUCAUAGUAAAAAGAAAAACAGUUUUUGGUAAAUUUGUCAUAAGUGUAUCGGUUUGGGGUUUUUUAGGGUAUUAAAUCUUUUUAAUGUGCAUUAGCUUGAGAUUUUCACCAAUUAAUAUGCAACUCCUUGGAAAGAAUUAUUACAUUCUACAAAAGACAUAUUGGCCCUAAUCCCACACGCAGUUCAUUAUGAGGGCACUUGCAUGGUGUCGAAGGACGAAUCUCUGGAUCGCAAUUUAUCGUAAUUAUUCAUUAUUCUUUCAUAAUUUUUACACAAGAUACUGAAACACGCAAAAAAUUUGGAAGGGUUUACGAUCGAUGGUGAAAAUCCCUCCUCUCUAUCCUAUGGCCAUCAUUGGUUGGAUCUGCUUCCCAAGAAUCUUUCGAAGCCCCUUUCAUUAUAAACCAAAUUUCAUACGUCUACCAUCAUUUGGAACAAACUUCCAACAACUACUUUAGUCUUGAAAAAGAAUGUUUUGACUAGGGAUGAACAUUGUUUGAAUGGCCGAUUCCCACCUUAAAAUCAAAAACCGCCCACUAAAAAUCAUUUUUGAAAAACUUGGAAUGGGAUACUACUCAAUGAUUUCAUGGAUCCACCUAGGAACCGAUCUCCAAUCCUUAUAAAAUUGCAUUCAUCAAUUUAUAUCAUAUCAAACCUAAUUUUUAUUUAGAGCACCAAAGUUUGCUUAGCUAUAAAUUAAUGUUGAAUUGCGAGACAUUGAUUUUGAUUAGAGAUUGACAAAUAUAGAGCAGAACCAAUAGACAAUACUCAUUAGUUAAGAACUUAAUUUUUUCAAAUGUCAUGAUGUGGUCCUCUUAAGGUUUUCCGAUAUCAAGAACGUAUGGAGAAUUAGACUCUACGUUAGAAGUCCUAACCUCCAAAGAAAUUAAAACAUUAAUCACUUGAUUCAUUUUUUUUUCAACCUCAACUAAUUUAAUCACGGGCAUAGCUAAGAAAAACCUAAUUAUGCUUUUAAUAUGAGCCAUUGACUCUUAAUUUUGUAUCAAUACAAUAAAGUGCCGCAACAUUUAGGGAUAUCUCUAACCGGUCCUCUCCUUUCUCUUCAUUUGUCUAUUUUGUUUUGGCUAAGAAAGUAAGUAAAUAGAUUAUUAGAAUGAAAAAAAAAGGUAGGGGAUUAAUCCUAUUACACACUCAAAAGACAAAAUUAGUCAAUAAUGUCUAAUAAUAUAUAUUGGUCAAAAAACUACAAAAUAAUUAAGUUAUAUAUAUAGAUUUCAUCUAGGUGGGCGAUUCCAUACCUAGAAUCGGGAAUCGAAUCGGUGCUCACCCGUUCCACUAAAUUAGAACUAAGAAUAAGAUUAGUCCUCAUGGAAAAUGCCAGUUUUGUCCGAUUUAAUGCGAUUCUUGGUUCCUUUGAUCCAUCUUUUUUAACAUCAACUAAUAUUUAAUCAUGGGGAUGGUUAAAGAGAGACCUUAUUUUGCUCUUAAAAUGAGCCAUUGUCCUCUCUUUCCUCUUUGUUUAUUUUGUUUUGGCUAAGAAAGUGAGUAAAUAAAUUAUUAGAAUAGGGUUAAUCCUAUUACACAUUGGAAGGACAAAAUUUGUCAUAAUGUCCAAUAACUACAAACAUAUAUUUUGGUAAAAAAAUUUCAAAAUAAUUAAGUAAUAUAUAUAUUGAGAAUCAGACCGGUACUCACCAGUUCCAUUAAAUUAGAAUCGAGACCUGGACUAGUCCUCAUAGGAGCCACCGAUUUUGUACUGGUUUCAGCCUGGUUCUUUGCAAUUCAGGCGAUUCUCAAUUCCUUGGCAUUGUCACGGCUACUUCAAAAUUUCAGUAGCCUUUGAUGACUUUCUAGGAAGCUACCGCACCCGACAUUGGAGUGCUACAAUUUAUAAAAUAUGCAUUUCAUAAUCACAAAAAGGUACGUCAUCUUAUACAUUUUUACCAAACUGGCUCUACUUAUUUUGAAAGGGAAAGACCAAGAACAGACAGUCAACGUCAAGUCCUUGGGCAUUAUUUAUCGCCGACAAUACCUAAUCUAGGGCAGGUCAUCCUUUUUACUUAUUGUGAAAACUCACUCUUUGCACGGAUAUUGUGAAAAAGACAGAAUAUAACACGCGUUUUUCAUUUUCAUUUUUAUUUACAAUUUAUUUUCGAUUUGCUUUUAAUCUGACUUUUAUAUGGAUAUUUCCUUUUUACUUUCUCGUGUUCGUUAAAUUUUUGUAUCAAGUACAUAAAUAUUGAUACGUACCCGUAUUUUUUCAAUCUUUUUUCAUUUCAAAUUCUUUUCAUUUACCUUGCUUGAUUUUAUUUUAUUUUUAACUUUACCGUGACUUUCUAAAUUUACAUAUGUUAAUAUUUUUAUUUAGACUAUUUUAUAUCGUUGUAUCAACUUCAUUGAAGAACUAUUUUGAUUCUGUCAUUACUUUUGUUAUUAAUGUAAGUAUGGUGUCAAUAGGGUUAUGAAAUUUUAGCAAAAUAAAAAGGUAAAGUGCAAGUUUAUGCAACCAUGAAGUUAUGAUUUUAAAAGGAGAAACAAUAAAUGCAAAUCGAUUCGUUUUGAAUAUUGAUUAUAGUAAAAAAAUUUUGUGCUUCAAGUGAUAUUAAAUAAGAUUUGCCACACUCAACUUGAACAUGGCGAAGUGAGAAACUUGAACCAGAUAGAGAAGCUUAGUAUCCCCAAAGCCUAAUCUUCUUCUAUUAUUAUUAUUAUUAUUAUUAUUAUUAUUAUUAUUAUUAUUAUUAUUAUUAUUAUUAUUAUUAUUAUUAUUAUUAUUAUUCUUAUUAUUAUUAUUAUUAUUAUUAUUAUUAUUAUUAUUAUUAUUAUUAUUAUUAUUAUUGUUAUUAUUGUUAUUAUUGUUAUUAUUGUUAUUAUUGUUAUUCUUAUUAUUGUUAUUAUUAUUAUUAUUAUUAUUAUUAUUAUUAUUAUUAUUAUUAGAGCGAUACAAGUAUUCUUUUUAAGGAAAAAUGUUGUAAAAAUCAUUUAUCUUUUACGAAACAAAUAUAGGUUAAAUAUACUUAAAAAUCAUCUUAGCCCCCUCUCCCUCCUCUAUUAUAACACUACCGCCCCAAAAAUAAAAAUACAACUAUAAUAGUCCAAUAACAAUGGACAUCCAUCCACAUCAUGCUCUCCAAAAGAGUGAUCUACAACCUUUUGAAAAGAUAGAAGAUUCCAACACUAUCGUUAUUUAUUAUAAGAUGAACAAUAACAAUUUGAAUACUGAAUAAUAUAUAUUUUGAUAACUUGAAUGUUAUCUUAUUCCGUAAUAUAUCUUAUUAGUUCUAUAAUUAUUCUACUUUUGCAAAUCAAAUUGUAUUUUGGAUUCUUCUUUAGAACUAUUCAUAUUAGUUGGUGGCCUUUUUGUUAAUAGACAAAAGCUCAUUAAUAUCCUUUCCUGAUGUAACUCUGCCCAACUAGCUUGCUGCGUUGCCAAUUUUCCAAUUGAAGCGAUCCUUUGAUAUUUUAAUAUGCAUUAGCUUGAUAUUUUCACCAAUUAAUGUACAAAUCCUGAAAAAUAAAAUUUUAUUUUCUAGAAAAAGACAAGUUGGACCUAAAUCAAUAAAGAAAAAGGCCCAUCAAUAUCCUUUCCUGAUGUAACUCUGCCCAACUAGCUUGCUGCGUUGCCAAUUUUCCAAUUGAAGCGAUCCUUUGAUAUUUUAAUAUGCAUUAGCUUGAUAUUUUCACCAAUUAAUAUACAAAUACUGAAAAAUAAAAUUUUAUUUUCUAGAAAAAGACAAGUUGGACCUAAAUCAAUAAAGAAAAAGAUACUAUUAUAAAUGUCAAUUCAUUUUGGGCACUUGUAUGGUUUCGAAGGAUGAAACUCCGGAUUGCAAUUUAUUGAAAUUAUUUUUUCCAUUAUUUUUAAUUAAAAUAUUGUAACACACAAAAAUUUAAAAUGGUUCGUGAUUAAUGGUGAGAUUUACUCUCUUUUCUCUCCAACCCCAUGAAAAAUUAGGGAUAUGCUUUCGAAAAAUCUUUAGAAACCUCUUAUUACAAUCCAAAAUGCAUAUGCCUAUUAUCCUUUUGAGCAGCUUUGCGUAGUAAUUUUCAGCCGUGAAAAGGAGUGUCAUGACUUUCGUAAAUUAUUUGGUCAACACCUCACAGCUACAGCUAUGACCACUUUAAAAUUUCAGCAGCUUAUAAUAACUUUAUAGGAAUUAGGAAGCUACUACAAUUUAUAAAUUAUGCAUUUCAAAAACAUGAAAGCCACCUCAUUUUAUAACACACCUCAACUACCUUUGUACCAAUCUGGCUCUACUAAUUUUGAAAGAGAAAGCCCAAAAACAGAGAGUCAACGUCUAGUUUUUGGGUAUCAAUUAUUCCUGACUGGGCCUGGACCACAGAUUGCAAAAUGAAGCUGGCUCAUCCCAGUUUUGUGCGUAUGAUAAACUGGGUGAUCAGUUCCCGGUUCAGUUUGGUUUCAAGGUGGAACCGGGAAAUAGACCGGGAGAACUGGUUCCGGUCCGGUCCGGUCCAACAAAAUUGACAUUUUCCUUUUUCACUAAAGAAAAACCAUGCUCCGGACUGAUCAAUCCAAUUCGGUUCCUAGGCGUUUUAAUAAAACUACUCACACAUGUUUCCAUGCGCCAUGUGCAAAAUAUUCACACUUCACUUGCGUGAAUAUCAAUCACAGUUUAUGUGUUUCACGCUUAAUUUUAAGCAUAAAAGCCAUGAACAAUUUGAUUAAAGGUUGUGCUUAGUUUAGAUUUUAUAAACAAUCUCUCUUCUAUGCUUUGAAUGUUUAGUCGAUAUCGGACUCUUUGAGGCUUGAAGUGCCUUGUUGUUUGCAAGUGAGGGGAGCAAGUGAGAGAGUGUGAGCACGAGGAACUCCUAGAGCCUUCUCUCACAUUGAGUAGAAAAUGAAACUAACAAGUAAGUUUUCUCUAUAAAUAAAGAGUAACAACAAAGCUUUGGUGGUCUCUUGGCCACAUAGAAGAUUGUUACCUCAAUUGCAAUUGUAAUUGCAAUAAGUUUCAUAUAUAAUAUUCAUAUAUUAUAUGUGUUUAUAUAUUAUAUGUAUAUAAAUUAUAUAUAAAAAAAUUGGUCCGGUCUGGUCGGUCCGGUUGGUCCGGUUCCCACCUUGAAACCAAGAACCAGACCAACCGGCCGCCGGUUCCAAGAUUAGGAACUGGGAACCGGACCGCCGACCGUGGGAACCGCCCAAAACCGGCCGGUUCGGUCCAGUCCCGGUUCAGGCGGUUUCCGUUGCACACCCCUAUGAUAAACAAGCUAGCAGAUUGGGUGGUAAAAGCCCCACGAAAAGAAGAAUUCCCCCAGAAUUGGCUAUUUCAUCCUGGGGAACUUAUGUUGGAUAAUUUAUAUUGGGUAAAAGUCACCAAUAACACAUUUAUUUAAAACUUUUUUUCGUGACACAAAAAACUCUAAACUAAACUAAUGUGUACAUUUACCCCAAAUUUAUACAGUGUGACAUCUUUAUCCCAAAUUUAUUUUUCAAACAUUUACUUGUGUGAUGAAUUCACCCAAAAAAUUUGGUGUCUCAAGAAAAAUUUUGAGAUUUUUGGUGUUAUAAAAAAAAAAUUAGAGUAAAUACGUCACACAGGUAAAAAUUUGGGAUUUUUUGUAUCACAGAAAAAUUCGAAGCAAAUGUGCUAUAGUGGGCAAAGUUUGGAGUUUUUUGCGUCACAAAAAAUAAUUUAUGGUAAAUGUGUCAUUAUCAGCAAAGUUUGAGAUUUUUUUUUUUUUGGUAACUUUUUCCCUUAUAUUUUCACAAACUUGGCUUGAGUUGAUAAAAUUUAUGUUUAGACACAAAAAAAUUUGUUGCAUACUAGAAAACCGACUCUUUGCGCAGAAAUUGAGAAAAAAACAGAAUAAAAUUAUUGUCCUUUUCUUGCAUCGUGCGGAUUCCCACCCAAUACCACCUGUUUUUAUUUAUUAUUUUUUUUUUGCUAAAAAUCAAUUUUCCAUUUGCUUUCAAUAUAACUUUCAUAUACUACUGCUUUUUACUACUGUUCUCUUGUUCCUUAAAUUAAGAGAAGAUAGCAUAAAUGAUCCUUGAAUUUUGUCUCAAUUCGCAAUAUCAUCCUUAAAAUUUUAAUUUAUUUAAUGUGGUUCUUGAACUAUUAGUAAAUGUUCAAUGUCGUCUUUAUGCUUGCUCAAAGGGCAAACCAAAUGUUAUUUUGAUGAUGUAGAUUACUAUAUGUUGAGUUGAAUUUUUAGAAAUGAUGAUUCGAUAUAUCUAUCAUUUUACCCAUCUACUUUAGAUAAGGAAAAAAUUUAAGCAUUAACAUGUCCAUUGUUAUUUAUUGACAUGGAUUAUUAUAUCCAAGUCAAGAUGAAUAUCUUACGUGGAUAAUCCAUAAAUAACUCUUUUUCUUUUUUUGCUCACUAUUCAAACCUAAAUGAUUGGAAGCUACAUCACUAGAUUUGUUAUUGUAGCUUUUGUUAAUUUGAAUUAAUGGAAGGAAUGUAUUCUAGAAUUAGAUUGAAUAUUUGUAAAUAAUUCAAGUAUCACAUUGCAUAUUGGACCAAAAUUCAUAGACCAUUUACGUCAUCUUUCUUUAAAUUUUUUAAUCAAGUACAUAAAUAUUGCAAUGUACCUAUGUUUUUCAAUUUUUUUUUUCAUUUAAAUGAGUUUUAUUUGGAGAGAAUUCAGAAAGGGCUUUCUGCUUCGUUUAUAACCACGGACAGAAUGCAAUAAAGUCAGCGGGGCACUUCCAAAAAGCUUUCAUUAUACCUUGAUUUUACUCAAAUUAUCUAAUAAAUGUUUUUGGAGGUAGAACCCACUGAUUUGUCAAACCCAUUAUGGCUAAUUCCUGCCACAUCUCAUUAAACUACAGUUUAGAUUAAAUAAAAUAUAUGGUAGAAAUGAAAUAGCAUUUCUUUACACUUCGGCUAAAAUAUUUUUACAACUUUGCCAUGAAUUUCCAAAUUUAGAUGGAUUGAUUUUUUUCUAUUUAUUUUUUUUAUAUCAUUGUAUUGACCCCAUUGAUAAAUUUUUUUUAUCACAAUUAAAAAGUAAAAGCUUACGCAAUCAUGAAUGAGUAUUAUAAUUGUGAUGGAAUCAUGUUUUUAAGUGGAGAAACAAUCAAUGUAAAUAAUUACUUAUUGUAGAUUUUAGCAAUAACUUUUGUGCUUCAAGUAAAUAUAAAAUAAAAUUUGCCACUCUACUUGAACUAGAUAUAUGGCCAAGUAUAACACUUGAGCCAGAGAGAGAAGUUCAGUAUCUCCAUAGCUUCAUUUUCUUGAUCGAAAGUUUUGUGAACUAUGAUUCAGCUACAAUAAAUCACAUGGGACUCCAAACAUUUCUUGAUACUCAAGACUCGAUCGAAUCUAUUAGAGCUAGGUCUCUUCUCGAAACUAAAAUUAAUACCGACAUCUUUUUGUCCUUACUAGAAAAAGAAUUCAACCAAAAAAAGAAGUGUGGAAAUGUGGAAAUAGAAAGCAUAAGGCGUUCCUUUUUCUGCUUGAGAAGGAAAUAACAUUCCACGUCGAAUGUAUCGAUUCUAUCCUCAAAUUCAACCUCUUCAACGAAGUGGAAGAUAAACAAACAUCAAGUCUCGUCUUCUUGACAUUACAUUUAAGUUUGAUAUAUGGGGAAAACAGUCAAAUUAAUCCAUCUUCUUUGCCCAAGAACUAGACAUAUUGCUAACAGAUGCUCUUUCAUAAACGUGAGCUGCAAUUGGGCCUACAAGAGCCAACAGUUCUUGCAAACCGGCCUGCUCAUCAAGGAUCAGCAAGGCAUGAACUUUUGCGGCGCCUUCUCCGUCUUGUUUUUUCCGAUCGCUCUUCCUUAAGACGACUAGCGACAUGCAUUCCAAGAGCAUGGGAUUAUACGCCAAGAGUUGGGGGACUUAAUGGGAGCUGAUUAACUUUCCAUUGUCACAAAUUAUAUCAACUGAUCCGGAUCUAGAGUCACCAUCUAAUGAUAUAACAGAGGAUCUGUUACCAUAAUGCUGAACUGCACAAUAACUAAUCACUAGGACUUUAGGACUGAUCCAUCCGGAUUGUAUCGAUUAAGCAUGUUCUAUUAAGUCCAGUGUGCAUGCAACAUCUCAAAGCUGCAUCUUCAAAAGGAGAGACGGAAGUGCAUGUACGACAACUGCCGAUCAAAGACUACUCGAUCCUACUGCUCUAUUUAGCGCAUGGCUUGUCGACAAUAAAAUUUUUAUUAAGAUGGCCAACUGUCUCAUAACGCACAUCAUAUUACUCACAUACAAACCCCUCGCAGAUCAAGCUCGGAAACAUCCUCCCAGAAAAGAAAAAAAGGAGAACGGCUCCAAACGAGUCAUAGAUAACGAAACUUCCAUACGGCUACUUUCAGGCUUUACGACAGACCUCACCAUCACAGACCCAUCCUUCUUUGGCAUCUCCUUCUUUCUUUGCUUCCUCCUCAGCUGCUUCAUCGUCUUCAUCUAACUCGUUUUCAGUUGCUUUCUCUUCUUUAACAGCACAUUUUGGAUGGAGAUCAAAGUCACACUCCUCGCAAUAAUAUGACCACCCCUCCCCCUCUUCAUCGCAGCCCUCACAAGUGUACCGUCUCCUCUGAGCCGGAACGAGCUCGUGCUCUUCAUGCAAAGGAUGCUUCAACUUCUCUGGCCAGCCUUUUAUACUUUCCUUGAACUUUUCCUCAAACUUCUUGAGAUGUUCGGCAGUAAAAGGAUAAGCAUCAGCCCCGUGGUCCAUUAUAAGAUCCCUUGCUUUGUUAGUCACCGUCCGGCCCGUUGGACCUAUGGCUACAAGCAUGGGGAUGCCCCGGACCUUGAAUUUGCCACUCAGGGAUUUCUUCCUCUCGUCACCAAAAGGGAGCGCCAGCCACGGCAUCUGAGCAAAAUAAUCAUCAAAGGCAGUUUGAUUCCUGUCACUGGAGAUGAAGAUAACCUCCAAGGCAUUGCCGGCAGCCUUGAUCUUUUCAUAUGCCUCCAUAAGCACCGGCAGGAAUGCACGGCAAGGACGGCACCAGUGUGCCGAGAAGUACAGGAGGACAGUCUUCCCUAUCAAGUCUGAUACUGGAAUCUGCAAUCGAAGUUAAGAAACAACCUUUUAGAUGAACCACAAAUUGAUGGAGAAAGCACAUGAAAACUGCAUAUAUGGAAAGGAUUUUCCUAGCUAUAAACCUGGUUUCACUCCUUUCCUCAAGUCAAGUAACCCGAGGUACAACUUUAUAUGGGGCCUCAUUGUAGACAUUAAAAAUUUCUGAGUCAUUAGCUUCUAGAAGAAAAACAAAUUUACCUUGGUUCCUUCCUUUCCAAUGAUGAAAUCCAGAUCCCCUGAAACCAAGAUCGACUCCAAGGUCUGAGAUUCUUCCUUUUUCUUUUCUAUCUCUGCAAGCUCUGCAAACUUUUCUGGAGUGAAUGGGUAAGCCGCAACGCCAUGCUUUUCGACAGUUCCGGCAACAUUGGGAUGGACAGUCUUCCCAUCCUGACCGAUAAUGACCAGAGUGGGUAGGGUCGACAGCUCAAAGUACCUAACCAACUUCUCCCAUUUCUUGUCUUUGAAUGGUAAUGAAAGCCAUGGCAUGCUUCCAAAGGAUUGGUUGAAUGAUGCUUCGUCAUCAUCAAGAG
rnacentral:lncRNA from 1 species